GCGACUGCAUCUCAGUGUUGUGCUCCUUCUUGAAGGCGUCAUCUUACUCACUUGCGGUGUCCCCAGUUUUGGUUCUCGAGAUGUUGGUGCUUUUGUUGGUUCGGCGUUGCCACACUUGGUUCGGGCUUGGUAGGUUUUAGCUGUGAUGUAUCCCCUGUUCAAGCCGAGCAUCCCUUACCUUUAUGCUCCGAGCACCAUGUUCACUCAUGCCUGCGUUCGUGUCAUGUGUUGUACCCCAUCUGUAAUCAUUCUAUUCCUUCUAUCAAUGCAAUGAUACACAAGCUUUGCAUAUUCAUGAAAAAAAGUAGCUUUCCCGGUGAAAUGUAAGAUCAUCUAAUCAGGCCAACAAUGCAGGUUAGUAAAGCCAAAUUUAGUUUUUCAUCUCGCUCCACCUCCGACGGAGCUGAGGCAUGAUGGUGGUGACCUACAUGGAUGCGGGGACCUUGGCAGUUGUGUGGACGGAAAAUCCCUUCUCUAAUUUCAUUCGUCCAAUUUUGACUAAGCUAGGGGAUACACCGUCCACAAAUUCGAUGGCGAAAGGAGGCAUGUCGAUCCGCGUUCAAUAUACUUCAAAAAUGGUACAUCGGGACAGUGCUGCAAAGGGCGAAAGAUGUCUCUUGAUGCAUCGAUGUCACAUUGAUGUGCUGUCACAUGGGACCCAUGCGUGCCACACUUCGACAAUGACCUUGUCGCACUCAUUGCCGAAAGGGUUGAACCAUCCGGCUUUGUUAACUGCAUUGUCGAGCAAUGCUCUAUUGCAUAUUGAUAGUCGCUAUAAGGAGAUAAGGUCGCGUACAAGGAGCCGACCCCACACAAACCUCACUGUACCCACCGACCAUGUUGCGGUGUAUGUUCUCCAACACCACUAUGUUCUACCUCACCCUAGGGGGCUUUGUUGCCUUCAUCCUGAAGACCUCUGAUGCCAUGGUCUACUCUAGUUUGGUCGAACAAGCGGAGAUUAGGAGAUGCAGAAAGGUUGGGUGGGGAACAUAGAUUACUAGGGACAUUUCUGCCUAAUUAUUGCCUCACAUAUUGAGACAGUGUCAAAAAAUUAAUAAAAUGUCAAAUAGUCAAGGUCUAAGGUGGAUGGGGGAAAACAACAUGUUACAACUUACAACAGAAGAAAUAACAAAUCCUCAAGGCACCUGCAAAGAUGGGGGCAUACAAUUUCCCCUUAUAAUUGGUGGCGGGUGGCGGGGCAAGUGGUGGUGGCAAGUUGGUGAUAUGACAAUUGAAGCACAGGUAGAGAAUCCUGAAAUGGAUGUAUCUUAAGUGCCACAAAGAUGGAGAUCACGACUACGCAAUCACCUGGUGGUAGCUCCAUCGACGUCCUCGACGUGAAGUGAAGGUGUCAGGCGAUUGGGGGAUGGAAUCAUAUAUCGAAGAAUCGCACUGUUUUGGUGCGCAUUUUAGACUCCAAGUCACCAACCGGGAUAGACCACCUCAUGACACUAAAUCAAUAUAUAUUUGGUUGUUCUAAGUAUGCACUGCAACCAAGUACCCAUUCCUGCAAUGUGCUCAAUUAGUGCAAUCAUCUUGGAUUUUCUCUUAACAUUAAGAAAGUAGUUGUGCCUGGUUCUUCUCCUCCAUUACGUGUGUGAAUUGUGACAAAGGCUUGUUAUCAGUCAACACAAUCAGGAAGACCCUAGAUUUCUGCUCAUGCCAUAGGGGCCAGAUCAUCAUGGCAAACAUUGAGCCAUAGGCCUUGUGCUUUUCUCUUAGCAUGUGCUUAUAGUGUCCUUGACACCAUUAUUCACAGAAACAUGAAGCACUUGAAGUGAGACCAUAAAGGUUAGCCCAUUCAUGGUUAAUGAAGCACAACCUCUAAAGGCACCCCAAGUUGAUCAAAAAGGGUAAACAAACUACUUGGAUGCAUACCUUUAACCCAAGUAUGUAAAGUUAAAGUUCACAAAGGCAUCGAGAGUCAAAAUCCUCAAUAGGUACAUGAGCAAUGCCUUAAAGGCAUGCUUAAAUUCCCACAACCUACUUUCGGGGGUAUUUCUGGUGUAAGGCAUGGCUUGUUCCUUGAAGCCUUAUUUCUUAGCAUACCCAAAGGAUGAAAGAAACCUCAAAUUCAUGCUUUGGUUCCCAAAGCCUACUUGUUGGAGCUAGUGGUGGUUCAACCAUUAGUAGUUAGUAUUUUAGUUGGUCCAGUUGCAGUGAUUAACUAAAAUAUUAUACUCUGCCAAGGAAGCACCAAGUGGUCACCUUGUGUGGUCAAAAGUGCUGGCUAGUUGUAGUGAUUGCAACUCUGUGAUUAAAGACCAGGGGCGUACACCAUGUAUCCAUAUUGUUACUAUAUUAAUAAGUAAAACCAUGUAUCAAGAUGCUUUGAAUUGUAUCAGUUAUGUUCAAGUGUAAUUGAAUAUCUUGUAUGGUUAUACCAGCUGGGAUGGCUGCAUUUGGAUUAUGAGUUCUAGGACAACAUUCGACUUGCUUGUUGUGUAUCAACAAGCUUCUAGCCAUGCUUGCUUCACAUGUAUCAAUAUGAGUAGUACAUGGAAGAACCUCCGCAAGUCACAAUUAUGCCAUUAUCAACUACCAAGGAUGCAAGCAUUGUUCUAUGAUGCGAAAGACAUCAAGGAUCACUAACCGCAAGUUUAAAUUAAGUGAGGUCCCUUCAGAACAUCCAAAUUGAUGCGUAUUUUUAGGACAUUCCCAAUCAAUUGGGAACUUAUGUAACAUUAAUAGACAUUGUGUUGUAAUGUUAAUGUAUCGAGUUAAGUAAUUGUGUUUAGUUGUGAGAUUCAACUGAUAAUAGAUUUAAAGAGCUAAUGGUGUUGUCAAUAUGAGAAUUGCUCCGAGAAAGAAACUACAUUUCAUUCAUUUGAAACAUACCGUCGGACACAAAGCCUAGUGUGAAUCUAGGGGAAUCGAACUGUGUGUCUAUUACCUAAGUCAUCCCUUGUGAUAUGUUUUGAAGGAGUGUAUAUACUUCAUAUUCAUUAAUAGCCAGCCCAUUGGUCAUUCUUCUCUCAAAAUGUGACGACCGGUCACUUUGGGUGUUUUAUGAGCGAACUAGCCACUCAGCCGUACCCAACCAUUAUCCAUGCGGAUGUGGCAUGAUGACUUAGCAUGGGACCCAUAGUGCAGUCAUUCAGGAGGUAUUUAGUUAGCAGAAAACACCCUGGAAACAAGCUGAGCUCAAGCGACAUUUACUUUGCGUUCAUUUUUUUGCAAUGCACCCCUUGAGUUUAAUAUUAGGAGGUGGGGGGUCUUUUGCAAAGCCUCCUCUAUCAUCUCUCUCAUAUGUUCAUCUAUACUCCGCUCCACCGCUCUUACGCAAGUUGGCAGAGGAUACACCCGGCGCCUCCAUGCCCAUUGUGACUUCCCACCAUUGCCUACUCCUGCCAUUUCCAUCUUCCCUGCAUCACCCAUUCUCUCUAAUGCUCUUUUCCCGCCAUCGCCCUCUCCCACUCCCACCAUGGUCAGCUCAUUUUAUGAUGAUGUCGGCCUGCACAAUUUUGGCAUAGCCAAGCAACACCAUUGCUCAGUCCUACUCUCAUUUAGCACAAUGGUGAGGAAGCUUCUCACCUCGUGGGACUCCAUCCAUGGGCGGCUCCGCAACGGCACCACCGCACAACGCCGGGGAUGGGCGACUUCUUGUCUAGUAUGGGCCGCUCCAAGUAGACACAUCCAACUUCUCCUCUAGCAUGGGCGGCUACUAUAACUCCUCCGACAUCGAGCUAGCAUCACCAGAGCUCUCUGCUAACCACCAGAAGAUUGAGCAGGAAAAUGCUGAGGAAGAGGAGGCGCUCGAGGUGAUGUAGGCACAACUUCACAACAACAUCGGCAACAGUGAUCAUGAUAAGUUCUUUCCUGCCAAGAAGGUAGUUUUUUGGGCUGCCAAUGCCCAUGAUAUGAGGCGUAUGUGCUCACUAUGCAAUAAUAGAAGGCCUGAAUGGUACACAACAACAGCGCAACCAGGCGGUGCUCACAACGUCUCUUUCCACUGCACAGGCUGAGGCGAUCCGGCAUCAGGCUGCCGAAGCAGAGCGCCUUGUUGCCAAGGAGCAUAGGGUGACUAGCGAGGGUGCCUUUGCCGCCCUCAACUCAGUAACAAACUACAUGUGCUCAAUUUCAAAUAGGAGAACAUGCAUCAUGCCUACUCAUUGUAUUGCAUAUUCAUAGCUGGACUUGAUUCACUGCUAGACAGAACAUGAUAUCAAAUUAAUACCAUAUUCCUUUGGUCUUUUUGAAAAAAUAUUCACAACUGGAUUUGAUUUUGUUAGGAGCAUUUUGGGAUGAGAUCAAACAAUUUACCUAAAAUUGGUACCCCAAAAACCUUCGAACAAUGUCACUGCCUUCUUUUGCCACACGACACGCAGGGUUAAGUAGGUGAAUGCACUUGUCUGCCUUGUGCUCCACACCGUUGAACUCGGUGUCAAAAUGGUAUUGCGGUAGCCGAAAGUCGAAUUCUGACAACUCCUAAAAAUGAAAUCUUCAUGCGCAAAACCUGAGCAGUCAUGCAUAUAUGCUCGAGAGAGGACUUGGUUUACUUACAUGAGAGCUUUUCUUUGGUCACCAGUAGCACACAUUCACCGGCUUCCAUUCCUCUCUCACGUGCUUCAGCCCUCUGGCGCUGCCCAUAACACCAAACAAUAGAUGCCACCCAUGGUCACGCCUCCUCGUCCUAUUCAUGUCGGUGAUGCCUAACCGACAUGGUCCACAUAGCCGUGCAGGGUACCUUCCACUACCGCCGCCGGCCUGCAUAGGGUCAGGAUUUUGAUGCUCGAUUUGGCAAUCAAGGGGAAAGUGAGCUCAACAUCUUUCCAAGAUAUUUUCUACAAAUUAAAGCCUCCUAAGAGACUGCACUAUGGGCCCCAUGCCAAGUCAGCACGCCACCUCAACCCCGUUAUAGUUGGAAAUGAUGGAGUGACCAAUUCAUCAUGAAGUAAACCAAUGUGAUCAGUUCAUCACAUUUUGAGAGAAGUGUGACCAAUGUGCUCAUCUCGCGGGAGUUGAGUGACCAAUGAUGCGUUUAUCUCUCUACAAAUUCCCUUCAUAGAAACUCUUUAUGAAAAUUUAUUUAAAAAUUUCCCUCGUUAAAAAUGUCAUGGUACAAAAGCACUACAAGAAAUUUUUCAAUUAGAAUAAAAUAAUCCAUGGCAAAGAAUGAAGUAUACAUUUUGUUCCAUAUUUUAAGUUUCAUCGUAAAUGUUACGAUAUGCAUGCCACUAUCGGGGUUUGCUUCUAUGAAACAUCUUAUAACAAGGCGACAUUAUAAGACCAAUGACAUGUAUGGAACAUACCUUUUACGCAACUUAAUACACCAUCGUCACAUCAAUUAUUUCCUAUAAAACUCGAGAUACUAACUACUCAAAUUUGUAGUUUUCAAAUGAACUAAAGCCUAAUGUGACAUGCUAAAAAUUUCUCAACUACCAUGAUGUCACUAUAGAAUUUACCACACCCACCCACCCAUAGAAAUUUAUAUUGAUUUUAGCAUCACAAGCCUCUCCAUGGCCGGUCCCCGUUGAAGGUCACUACUUGCAAAUUGCAACCACGCUCACUUAAAUUUAGUGUCCAAACCACACCCCGAUUUGGUGUAGCAAUCAUAAACUAAAUCAAUGUUGUGAGUCAUCUCUCAAAUUGUUCAUGGGCUGGGUUAUUGGGCUUAGUGCCUCAGUAUGACUAUAGAGACGUGUGAAUUGGUAGGACAAAAAUAUUCCUACAUCCCAAACCAUGCACGUUACCUAUCUAUACAUAGGCUUCCCAUCAUGGCCAUGAGUGGGUAGUGCUAGCUUUGUUCCCUCCUAUUCAAGAGUCUCCCUAUUCAAUUGUAUCUCCCCCUCAAUAAAUAAAUAAAUUCAAUUGCAUCUCCCUUGAUCUCAUAGUUGCCCUACCUUCUCCGCAUCAAAAUCGUUGCCUCUAUAGGUAGUCCUCUCUUGUGUCCUAUUAUUCACAAAUCACAGUCCUCCCCUUACUUGCGCCAUGUAUGCUUCAUGUUGAGUUUUUGUAUUCCAUUUCUCAUUGCCCAUCGAUUAUCGAUCUCCACAUAAUCUUCCUAAUCCUCAUCCGGAAACUAUCCAUCGGAGAUCUAAGGCCGAUGUUUGGUGAACAACUAAGGUUACACAGAGUCAUCAUAAAGAAGGUCGAUCAUAAAUUUGCCGACUCAAUGAUCUGAAUUUGUAAAAAUAUACCUCAAUCUCUUGUUCUUUUUAUUCUCAUUCCUUGUGAAUCUAAAAAGGCAUUCCCAUGCUUGCCAUUGGGAUAAAUUAUGAAGAGGGCAUGUUUAGGUCUCUAUAGACAUGACCCUCGCUAUCAAGGUUGUGCUUGUUGUCCUUGAGGUAGAAGAUUUUCAUUUUCUCUGAAUAACACGAGCAACCAUACAUUUGUGUUAGGAUAUGAAAUACUUUUUGAAGGAUACGUAAUGAUUUUUCACUUAGGUGGUUGGUCCAUAAACAAUCGAAUUGACCCAUGAUGGGGCCUUGCAUUUCAUUAACAGUCUUUUGUUGCUGGAUCGUUCUCAUCUCUUAUCAUUUGUAUCUUUCGCCGAGAUCUCUCCCCAUUUUUUCACUGCCUUGCUCCCUAUUUCUUUAUCUCACCAUACUCCAUGACGGGAGCUGCCUUCCCCAUGAAUUUCGAUGGGGCAAAGAUUAAGAUACAUUCCGCAUUGUUCGUGGUACAUUGUGACAACAUGUUGUCAUGCUUCUCUUAGCCGUACGACAUCUCCACCAUGCACAUGCCUAGAUAAGGGAGGAGCCAGUGGUACUAUAAGGGAGGGACAUCGCUUGCAUCAUCGUGAGCUCAUGGAUGAUGCUUUUCUUAUCAAACGGUGGUGAAUCACCUCCCUUCAUUUAUAUUUGUGAGAAAUUUUCGUCUCAAUUGUUACUUGGGCUGCUAUGAGAUGUACAUAGUGCCGGGCACCAUGCAUUUCCUAUGUUAUGCUUGAAAUUUUUUCAUUGCAAUUUGCUCGGUUACUAGAUUAAUUGGUCGAUUGAGAUGGAAGUUACACAACACUAAUGCUCUCCACUACUUCUGGUCAACCUUUUUUUUAAGAUUGCAGGACAAAUUGGUUUAGCAUGAUUAAAACUGAUGUUGUGUGAUUGGUUGAUUGAAUUGCUCAAGUUACCUACAUUUUUUCUUGAUUUUAAUCUGGCAACACUACAUUUGUUCUAUAUUACACGACAUGAUAAUUCUUUGCCCAAAAAACCCAAAUAUUUUGCAGUUUUUGUUAUUGUCUUGAAAGUUGAAAUAGUGAUUAUUGUAGAUAAAAUUUGCAUGGAGGAAAGUUCACUCUUGUCGACUCUACACUCAGUGUGAUCCACUGAGCUGAGAUCAAUUACCAGUAUCAUAUAUCUGACAUAUGGAUGGAAUUUACCCUUGAAACUACCAUAUGAUCAUGAGUUAGUAACUGCUCGUUAUCAUUGUUGUUUUACCUAUUGGAAAUAUUUGAACCAAUGAGUGCUCCCCGUAAUGGAAAUAAUAAAUUGCUGUUUCCUUUUCAGGAUGAUUCAAAGAGCGAAGAAGAGUCGACUCUACACAAUCAGAGGUUGCCCCAAAUUGGCGACACAUACAUAGAUCCAUUUCAGCCUGUGAACUCUUGUGCCUCUACUACAAACAGUGUUGUCAAGGAUUAUGCUGAGCUACCCUCCCAAAUUCCACUACUGAAUAUGGAUGUUGUUAAAGAUUUUCGUGCACAAUCAUCAUCUUCUUCUUCAAGGAGCGUGCUUGCGAAUUUUGCUAAUAUGAUGGCGAUGCAGGAGGCAUGCCUUCGUGCGUUGAUUGACCCAGAUCAGGAAUUAUCCUGCAAACUAUGGCGUCAGUCCCCCGAGGCUUUGAAGAAUCACUACGCUCUCGACGUUGAGAUGGCAUGUUCUGGGGGGCAUGUGCCAAAUAUAAAUGCUCCUGGGAAUUCCCAGGUCAAUUCACUUCUUCAGCUGAUCAAGAAUCCAGUAAACCAGUCUAUGCGGCUCAUCAAUGUCAAGGGUCACGUGCCUGCUCUCAGGUGCACAUAACUCAUGCAACCUUAUCUUCAUACUUAACUUGUUAAGAUAUCACUAGUACAUACUAAGCAUCAGUUUCAGUCAGUAUAUUCUUAAGGUUACGCCUCCUACUGUGCCAUGAUUCCAUUGAAGAAAUUGCGACAUUUAUAUGGUAACCCAUCCAUUACCCUUUGUUGUAUUUGACAUGCAGUGCUGACCCAAUUGGCAGCUGCUUUAUACGGCAGAAACUUGACGAAGCAACUACUGGAGAGAUAGUUAUGCUAUAUAAAGAAAUCACGCCUCACAUCCUUACACUGGCCACUGAUGCCUUUCCCACUUACGUUAUCCAAAAGGUUUUCUUCCUCCAAUUCCUGUAGAAUUUUGUACCUUGAGUCUCCAAUUAAGGAUGUGGAGAUUAAUCGGACAUAAACUUCUAUACUUACCUUCUAAUUUUUUUUGUAGCUUCUUGAGCAUGGACCAGCAGUCUACUUCAGGAUACUAAUUGCUAAUCUAAUGGGGCAUGUGUUAGACCUAAGCCUUCAUCUCUAUGGUUGUCGGGUGAUCCAGAAGGUAAGCUGAACACUAUCACUUUAACAUCUCAUGAUGGAAGGAAUUAAGGUGUGCUUGUAGAUUGCAAAACUGCACUUUUCUAUUUGGAAGGCCUCUACUUUGUAAUGUCAUGUAAGAUAGAAUAUGUAAUUUAGUCAAACCAUUCAUUCCCAUUUAUUGUCUUGUUAAUAUGUCCAUUAUCUUAGAUAACUUCUGUUAUAAACAUAGUAUAAUGUCAAAUGCAUAAAUAGUUUAAGCUGAUUAUGUUUCAUUAUGUUUUAAGUUUUUACCCUGGUAUGCCAUAUUGUUUCGUUGCGAGCUUGGUCACUGAUGGUGUCUCUUUGUUCAGGCUUUUGAAAUAAGCGGCAUUAGUCAACAAAUAGGGAUGGCCACGGAGCUUGAUAGCAACCUAUUCAAAUGUAUCUGCAAUCAACAUGCAAACCAUGCCGUUCAGAAAUGCAUGGAGUGUGUGCAGCCACAAUAUAUCCAAUUCAUCUAUAGACGAUUAUGUGGCAAGGCCAAGAUGUUAUCCACCCAUCCUUUUGGAUUCCAUGUGGUUCAGGUUGUUAGUUUGGGCAUUACACUUUUUACCGCUUCCUAUCUUUCGACAUUUGUUUGUACCUUGUUCACUAAUUAUUCCUCCCGUCCUCGUGUUCUUAGAAAAUGCUGGAGUUCUGCAAGGACCCUCAAAUUAUGGACAUGUUUAUCAAAGAGAUUCUCGAUUGUGUAAAGGAGUUGUCUGUAGACCCAUAUGGAAACUACGUUGUGCAGGUAAAGUGUGUAGUGGUUUGUAAUUGAUGAAAUAUUAUCGCGGCUUAACAAACAAUUCACAUGUGUGUUCUAUCGACAUGUUGCAGUACAUUGUGGAGCAUGGAGGACCUCGUUAUCGACAAAUUAUUAUGUUGAAACUUGCUGGAAGCAUAGUACAGAUGAGCCACCAGAAGCACUCUUCCAAAGUCAUUGAGAAGUGCCUGAUCUAUGGCAGCUACCACGAUUGCAAGCUUCUCAUAAAUGAGAUCCUUUCUGCAGGCGGUGGUCAAACUGCAGAUCAUCUCGUGGUAUGUGGCUCUUGAGGUCUUACCGCCGUUACUCGACAUCCCUAGAGAGAUAUAGUACACAUGAGACAUGACUAAUCUUGCGUGGUUGCCUGGCCAUGCAGGGCAUGAUAAUCCACCAGUAUGCAAACUGCGUGGUGCGGCAGAUGGUUGACGUGGUGAACGAUUGGCAGUUCAACGUGAUCGUGGAUGUGCUGAGGCGCAACAGGGACACUUUGGUCAUGUACGCCCAUGGGAGGCAGGUCAUCGCGCAGGUCGAGCGGCUCCUCAACGGCAUGGCACCGUCCCCCGACUCCUUUGGGCAAACAUCGUCGUCGUCCAAGUUCGUCUAGCGUGUUUUAAAUUGUUUUUAGAAUGGUUUGCGUCGUAUGUCUCUCUUCUUCAUCCUGGAGCAUGAGAGAUCGGCAGAAAUUGAAUUAAGGUGAACUCAGUUGCUUUCGUUUUCCCCGUCAGGUGAACUAAAUCGUUUCUGUAGAGGAGAACCGAACUAUAACCUCCUCUGGUCAAAGGAUUUGUCAAGCACCCAGCCUACCGUUAUCUAUGAAUUGAACUAUUUGUUUUCCAUGCCAUUUUGUGAGGGCUUCAUCACUUUAGUUUAAGACUUCAAAUAUCUUGCUGGUUGGUUUCACCAGGCAUAUGCAUGUUCCAGGUCGACCAGGCAGUAAAAAAUAUAGUAGCUAGACGGCUCAUUCAGGCUUUGAAUUCAGAAACAUAUAGUAUAUCACUUGAUGCAUCAUUUAGGUUUAUUGUUUUGUGGAUGAUGCAUCAUUUUGGUUGUGGUGGGCAGAGUGUGCUUUAAGGUACCGGUUGGGCCUCGCAGCAUCGUCGAAGGCGUGGCUGUAGGCACUGUGGCAGAUGACAACUGCACUGUCAGUUUCUAGGAGGAAUGGUGCGCGGCUCCACUCAAUGGCAAGGGCAGCUCCUUCCAUGCACGCCGCAAUACUUUGAUCAGUUAAUUCGCUUGGCUUAAGCAGUCCUACACUCCUACUGCCCUAGUUUAGUAUGUAUUCCCACAAGAAAAAGGAGACAAAACAAAACUUGAUUUGCAUUGAUCUAACAGAGGACUCCAUACAUACGUACCUUGCAGAUCUAAACACCAUCUAGCGGCUAUACUUACGCAUCAGGAUAAUCUCUCAGGCGGGCCGCAUGGCAGCUGCACCAUCGUCCUGAUCGUCGUCAGCUCUAAGAGCAUCUUCAAUAAAUGAUGUAAAACACAAAAGUGUUAGUAGUAAAAUUUACAUCAUCAAAAAGUGGGUUUUACAUCACAAAAAAUCUCCAACUCCAACGAAUCAUGUAAAAUAGGACAUUAGCACUCCAAUAGAUAAUGUAAAAUAGGAUAGCCGCACAGCAGGCACUCCACAAUUUCAUACUCCCUCCGUUCCAAAAUAGAUGACCCAACUUUAUACUAAAUUUAGUACAAAGUUGAGUCAUCUAUUUUGGAACGGAGGGAGUAUAUAUUUGAACCAAAUAAUACCAAAAUCAUCGCAAAUUAAUCCUAAACAAACAUACAAUUUGAGUUAAACUGAACUUGAACUAGGCCGAACAACUGUACCUUUCUGAACAUACAGAAACUAGCAUGGCAGGGACACUAGGAACUGAACAUUAUCUGAACUAUGGCGAUGCUGUUACUAACCAGAGCAAAACGAGUGAUGUUGUGCUAUAACAGCCGGCGCUCGAUUUAGCUGCUGCUGCUCGCCCGACGAGCAAAUCGAGCACGCGCGAGGGCACGCGCCACGGGAGGCGACGGCGAGAGGGAGGCCACCGCCAGCGACUUGAACGCGAGCCACGCGUCGUCCGAGCAGUCCGCAAGCAGAAAUGCAGCAGCGACUUCGAGCGCCACGGCGUCCGCGACGGGCGGGCAGGAGCGGGACGUGGUGGCGGCGGUGGAGGGCCAUGGCGACGAGUGCGGGAGCGGCGGCGACGGCCGCGGGGUUGGAGGACGCGGCCAUGGAGGCCCGGUGGCUGGGGCGGUGCCAGAACUGGCCGGAAUCGGUCGGCGACGGCCGGAUGGCGGCGGCGGAAGGGGAUCGAGCAGUCAGCCACGCAGCGGGAACUUCCGAGUGGCAGUUGGGUCUUCGCGGUUUUUUCUCUAGCUUUGCUCGGGAGGCCUGAUCCAAAUUUAAAUCAGAUGUAUUUUAUGUUUAGAGUAAAAUCUUAUUAAAAGAAAUUGCAUCCACAUAAUUUGAGUGAGGGAUGUUUUUGAGCCUUCGUGGUGUAUAUUUCAAUUAUUUUUACUUCAACAUAUAUANNNNNNNNNNNNNNNNNNNNNNNNNNNNNNNNNNNNNNNNNNNNNNNNNNNNNNNNNNNNNNNNNNNNNNNNNNNNNNNNNNNNNNNNNNNNNNNNNNNNNNNNNNNNNNNNNNNNNNNNNNNNNNNNNNNNNNNNNNNNNNNNNNNNNNNNNNNNNNNNNNNNNNNNNNNNNNNNNNNNNNNNNNNNNNNNNNNNNNNNNNNNNNNNNNNNNNNNNNNNNNNNNNNNNNNNNNNNNNNNNNNNNNNNNNNNNNNNNNNNNNNNNNNNNNNNNNNNNNNNNNNNNNNNNNNNNNNNNNNNNNNNNNNNNNNNNNNNNNNNNNNNNNNNNNNNNNNNNNNNNNNNNNNNNNNNNNNNNNNNNNNNNNNNNNNNNNNNNNNNNNNNNNNNNNNNNNNNNNNNNNNNNNNNNNNNNNNNNNNNNNNNNNNNNNNNNNNNNNNNNNNNNNNNNNNNNNNNNNNNNNNNNNNNNNNNNNNNNNNNNNNNNNNNNNNNNNNNNNNNNNNNNNNNNNNNNNNNNNNNNNNNNNNNNNNNNNNNNNNNNNNNNNNNNNNNNNNNNNNNNNNNNNNNNNNNNNNNNNNNNNNNNNNNNNNNNUAUAUAUACACACACAUUAAUAAAGUAAGGUGCGUUUCGCUGAUUUUUUAAUUCGUUCACCCAUGUUAUUUUUCUUGACAAUGUUUACUAUCCGAGGUGGUACUAUUUGUGUCUUCUAUGCUGCGUUUAAAUUUCUUGUACGUGACUUGAGUGGGCCUCGAUUUGCUCAGUUGGGCCUGUGGCUGGCCUGCAUCGAUGCUAAAAAUUGUCUGCUUCCUAGGUUGCGCAGCCAAUCGAGCCUUGCUCUAAUGAACCAACUAUCACCAAUUCAUAUACAUCUGGGAUUAUCUAUAGUAUCAAUCAGCCUCCUCAAGAGUCAAACAAAAGCACCUGGGAACGGUCGAGAGGCCGAUAAGAAGCACAUGUAAAGGCGGGACAGUGGUCGAAUGUGGCGGCGCGGAGGAGAGCUAGCUGGCGGCGAAGGCCGAGGCCGCCGUGCUCAUCGGCAGUAGUCAGAUGACGAGGCAGUACUCAUCGGCAGUAGUCAGGCAGCGACAGAGGUGGUCAGCCGAGGGCGCAUGGGCUCGUGGCGCAGGUCGCCGACGCCUCCUAAGAGGAGGUGCCGCCGAGGCGAAGAGCUUCCUGGCCAGAGAGACGCCGGCGUUCGGGAGGUGCUAGCGGGGCGAAGAAACCGCCGGCCAGAGCGAUGCCGCGGGCAUAGGAAGUGAAGCCGCCACUCGGGACGACCGACCAUUGUCGGGGAGGCGUUGGCGGGGGAAGAGCACGCACAGGCCAGAGGGACGCCGUCGCUCGGGACAGCCAGCCAGAGGUCGGGGAGGUGCUGGCGGGGCGAAGAAACCGUCGGCCAGAGCGAAGCCGCGUGCAUAGGUGGCGAAGCCGGGCCCUCGGGACGGCUGGCCAAUUGUCGGGGAGGCGCUCGCGGGGGAAGAGCCCGCCGGCUAGAGCGGCGGUAGGGCCGCGAGGCUGAGGAUCCGCGCUCGGGACGGCCGGCCGGAGGCCGGGGAGUCCGCUCGUGGGGCGAAGAACUCGCCAACCAGAGGAGUGUCGUGAGGAGCACGGUCUCUCAUGCCCUGGUGGCUGUGUGGCGGCGCGUGAGGGAACAUACCGAUGGAGGUUUUUUUUUGAGACAAUACCGAUGGAGGGGUGGAGAAGAGGGUGGGGAUCGGGCUAGGUUUACAGUGGGGGCUAGCUGGGCCUGCUGGGCCGGUUCAAGGGUAGGGAGACUUGUGAAGAUUAUGUAUUUAUUUCUUACAAUACUAGCUAUAUGCCUUGUCUAAAGAAAACUUGGUAUAACAUGCCAGUAAUUUUUUCCCUACAUGCGUUUUAGUCUGUGAAGUGGAUUUUUUGAACAUAAACACAUUGUUUUGUUGCUUUGAUGAUUGAUUUUCGUACAUGUAAACAAUCCUUUAGUUACUAACUGUUAUAGUUCGUGCACAAGUAGAAGGUUUCACUUGGGUUCAUCCUAUUCUCUUAGUUGUUGCCUCCAUUAUUUACUAUUGGGAAGCUUGAAUUUAGUGUUCAAGGAAAAGGCAAUAUUGUACACAUGUUUAUUGGAUAAACAUAUAACUACAAGUCAGAAGUUGUCAUAGGUAUGCCGCAGAAGAUUUUGUUGCAUCAAGAAAAUAAACAUCAAAUUUGCACCAGAUUAGUGAGUUUCUCCCACUAUAAUUGACCUCCUACGUUCUUGCACCAGAUUUUUUAGCAGGAUUUAGAAUACGACGCAAGUUGGACAGUGUCGGACAUCACUGACACCAUCGAUGAGGGAGAAAGGAAUAUAAGUAGCAAUACAUGUUGGGGGAUUGUGUUGAAAUAAAUAGACGGAGACAAGUAUAUAUGGGCAAGGAGGGAUGAGUUGUGAUACGUUUUCUUCUCGCGUUGCAACGCACGGGUAUUUUUGCUAGUCUCACUUACUAUACUACUAGAUACAUCACGGCCUUGCCUUCGGCGAUCCUGCCAGUGGGUUGGACUAGCAAGCGGUUUUCCUUUUGCACUAGUUCAGCUCGCAUGUUUCUUAUGUACGCACUGAUUGUUUUUCGAUUCGGAACAUAGUGCAUUGCUUCUCGCCCGACUCAGCUAGGUGGACCAUUCUAAUCUGUAAUUUUGUUUUUAUUUUCCUUUUCAUUAUCACCUUUUCUUUUUAUCCCAUUUUAAGGUUCCUUUCUUCUUAUUAUAUUUGUAUUUUAGGUUUAUAGUUUUUCAUAUACAUAUUGACUUUGUUUUAAUAAACAUCAAACAUUUAUAGUAUAUAUGUUGAACACUGUUCAGAUGCACAUUUAAUAUUUUUCCAAAAUGUCAUGAACAUUUAAAAAAAAUAUGUGAACAUUACUCUGAAUAGCACAUACAAUUUUUUAUAUAUGUUAUGAACAUUUUUAUAAAAUCAAGUGAACCAUUUUUAAAAUUUUAUGAAUAUUUCUUAAAAUGUUAUUAACAUAUUUUUAAACCUGUUCGAUGGUAUUUUUUACAAACUGCACAAUUUGUUUUUUACAUUUUCUUGAAGAUGUUUUUAGGAAAAAUUAUGAACACAUUUUUAAUCUAGCUUUCUCUUUUAUUUUUUUAUUUUUAAAUACGCAUUGAAAACUUACAGAAACACUUCAAACAUUUUUCUAAAUAAAUGUUAAACAUUUUUCAAAUACAAGUCAAAUAUUUUCUAAGACACAUUGAAAUUUUUGGAAAAACAUGUUGAACAUUCGUCAAAUGCAUGCUGAACAUUAUUCAAAUACACUAUGCACAUUUUCUUAAAGAAACCUUGCACAUUUUUACAACACCCAUUCAUCAUUUUCCAAAUACAGGCCGAACAUUUUUUCCAAAUACUUGGUGAACAUUAUUUUAAAUACCCUGGUCAUUACAUGUUCAAAAUUUGUAAAUACACCAUAUUUUUUUUGAAUGAAUGAUAAUAAUUGUUAAACAUGUGAUCAACAUUUUAAAAAAAUACAAGUCCAACAUUUUCUAUAGAUUGGUAAAAAAAUAGUUUCCAAAAUAAUAGUACUUUUCCUAAACUAUUUUCUAAAAGCAGUGUAAAAGCGAAAACAUAAAACAUAAAAAAAAUUCAAAGGAGACGACUAUCCUGCGAAUCGCUAGAAGCGAUAAAUACAUAGAAAGCAUAAUGUUGACUAGAGAUUGGUUAGUUAUCAGUUUCCCAAUCCAAUUUCACAAAAAAGUUACACAGUUUUAACAACCUAUGAUUUUGGUAAAUAUUGGCAAGAAUGUUAGGCAGCAAACCGGUCAACAUCGAUCCACCCAAAUCCCGCUCGCAAAUUCUAUUUGGCGCUUCACGCGCCAGUUACUUCAUUACUCGUAACUGGCGCACACCCUCCACCCCUUCUAUUGGCGAACUGGGCGGGAACAUAUAUAGUUCGGCUUUUCAAAAGCCGCUCCGGUUUUGGGAAACUUACAAAAGCUUUCGAACCGGUUUUUUCUUUUAUGUGUUUUUGGUUUUUUGGUUCACACAUUUUUGCCUGGUUUUCCUUUUCCUUUUCAUUUUAUUUUUUUUCCUUUUUUCAAAUGCAUGUUUUUUUUGCAAAUUUGUGAACUUUUUCCCAUAGUACAAAUUAUUGUUUUACAAUUUUUGAUACUUUUUUUGCAUUUUUUAAAUUCCCAUUUUUUUUAACUUUUUUCAAAUUUUAGAAUUUUCCAAUCUUGAACUUUUUAUAAAUUUACAAAGUUUUCCAAAAUAUUUGAACUUUAGAAAAAUGAACUUUUAUGAACUUUUUCAAUUCAAGAAUUUCUUUAAAUUCAUGAACAUUUUUGGAAUUCAUGAUUUGUUUUUUUGUAUCCGUAAACUUUUGUUGCAUGUUCUUGAUUUUUUUUCUGAAAUCUAUGAACUUUUCCAAUUCGCGAUUUUUUUUUUGAACAUGUCAAUAUUUUGGUCAUGCCAAUUCUUUGCUAGGGCUAGAUGGGGUUCAACCAAAUAGAUCCGUGAGGCUGAAGACAAUGUUGCUCUCUACUUUGGGCUUUCACUACUAUAGGAAUGUCCAGCUGUGGCGGAUGCUAAAUAUCCAUCAGUGGCGGUCGAAGCCCACUCGCCACUGAUAUAGUUGGUACUGGCUGGCGCCCACCAUGAUAUAUUUUGUCAAGCCAAAAAGAAAAAUGCAUGUCAUGGCAGCAUUUUUGGCUACCGUUGCAGCUAUUUUCAUUUUAACAGUAAUAUUAUUACCGUAGAGUUAUGUGCAACACAAUUUAAGAACGAACUUUCAAUGUUUAACAAUUUCACAUAACAUUAAAAAACCGCACACAACAUAUAUGUUCAAUGAAAUGCUAGUACGGUAGAAUUCACGUACAAAAUUGGGAUCAACACCAAGAAAAAGCUAUGGUGACUGUGGGACAUUGUACCACAGAUAAAUGUCGUCGGUAUCAUCUACUUCGCCUAGAAAUAACAUGUGUGCCCUCCCAGCUUCCAUCUUCACUCUUUGCAAUCUGUAUCCAAUUAGAACCACUGAAAUACGUUCGGUGUGCCUUGUUGGUGACCAUAAGGGUCAAGCGUACGCCAUAUUGAAGCAAGGCCAUUUUGAGCUCAAAUGUGCCCUCCACCUCCAUGGAUAGGUUCACCCUAUGCAUGAAGUCUGCACUUCCCCAACAAGAGAUACACUAAGCAUAAAUUGAAUCAAAACAACAUGCAGUCAUUUUUGGGCGCAACUUUAUAAUUGUGAGCAAUUCAUCAUCCAUAACACAAGUUUAAUUAAAAUGUAUCGUCCUCUUCUGAAAGUCCUGCUGAAAAUCUAUUUGGAUGAAUUUCAUUGUAAUGAGGGUGCACCUUGUAGCGGGCACCUAGCCUGUUGUCGCCACAGCAUCGACAUUCUUGGUUCAUUGCCUACAUUCAUGUUUAGAAAUGAAAUAGAAAUCACACAGUUCAUGACAUCAUUUAUACACUAUAGUACAAUCAGCAUGGCAAAAAUAAACAUUAAAAAGUAGGGAUCAAAGAAAAAAUUCGGCACGACUUCUGCUAAAAAAAAUGAAAAUAUCUAGUGCCAGAAAUGCGGCGAAACAAAAAUUAAUCAAUGUUUUGCCGUAAUUUCGACACUCAUUUUGCAGCCCUGCAAAUUUUGAGCACUCACUAUGGAUAAGAGACUAGUAGAAUAGGAUACCAGUUAAUUACAUAUAAAAACAUCAAUUAAUAUUUCAACAGCAAAAAUAUCAAAUUAGUCUCAUUAGCUAGAUUCCUUAGAAAUUUUUUCUAUAGGCUUCCUCAUAUACAUAUGAAUCUUUAAACAUAUGGUCCAUAUCAUUGUUCAACUUAUCGCGCAUAUCCAAUGCAUAUAAGCUCCAAUAGUCACAGAGUGACACAAUGGUAUUAUCUUAAAUGAACGCAAGUAAUUUGGAUAAUAACCAUAGAAACAUAUACUCCAGAAUUUUCUAUUAGUUACAACUAAGCAAGACAAACUACUUUCGACAUUGUUGCGUUGUAAAUCUAAAUCAACACGAAUUGGAGCAAACACGUAUAAACACACUAUAGAAAAUUGAAGUGGCACAAGCUAUUGUAUAGAAGAAUAUGGCUUUAUCUUCUAUGCUAAGAUUUAAAUGAGUUUGGUUAACUAACAAAAUAUGUAUAACUACUUUUGAGAAAAAUACAUAAUCCAUUUAGAAAACACAUUAUAGAUAUAUAUUAAACCGAACGCCAACCCUAGAUUUUGCUAUAUAAAAAAAUUGUAGUGAUGUUGAGGAGGCUAUUGAGGGAGAAACUUAAUUACUUGGAGGUUGAAGCCGUUGAAGCGCGAGGAGGCGGAGGGAGCGGAAUGGUGUCAGAGGAGUUAGCUGGCGGUGGCAGGGUGAGGCCUCCGCCGUCGGAGGAGGAGGCCAUGACGGUAGGGCCAAGGAAGGCAAGCGCUAUGGCGGACAAAUGACGACCAAGCGAUUUUGCUGGCGGGGGUGGGGGUGAAUUUGGUUUGGAGAUGUUCUGGCGGGAUCUAAAUUUUCUUCGAGUAGGCUGAGAAGUGGCGCAGCCCAACUCUCACCACAACUAAAGACCUGGCAGUUGCAUGUAUUUACUAAAGCAUGUCAGUGAAUGUGUUCUUCUACAUAAUUAACUGGUUUUUCCACAUCAUUUCAACUUCAAACUUUUCCUAUGAUUGCACACAUCGUUGGAAGCCACAUGCUCAAAUUUGGCCACUUUUGAGUUGGUUUCCUAUUUUCGAAGCAUGAACUAAUUUUCCGGCGACUAAGAAGGAUAGAACCCUCUUCGGUUCCAAAUAACGUGCAAACGAGUUCGGAAAUGGAUGAAAUUUGGCAUGAUGUCUUCAUAAGACCUUUGUAGGGUGUGGUAAAAAGUUGAGAGCGUUAUGAAAAAAACUUGAUGCACUUCGUGUACAAACUAAACACUACACGGUGAAGUAUCGGUGUUUCAAAUGGAAACCACCCACUUCCACACGCAACUCCAUCUUUUACAUCAUUUCAACUUCAAACGUUCCAUGAUUAAUACAUACCAUUGGGAAUAUCAUGCUCAAUUUUGACCAUUUUAAUUUUUUUUGAAGCAUCAAUGGAUUUUGUGGCCCCUAAAAAGGGCAGAACGCUCUUCGGUUCCAAAUAACAUGCAAACGAGCUCAAAAAUGGAUGAAACUUAGCAUGGUGUCUUCAUAGGACCACCCCAUAGGGUGUGGUAGAAAUUUGAGAGUGUGACGACAAAAACUUGACACACUUUGUAUAUGAACUUAACACUCUCCGGUGAAGUAUCAGUGUUUCAAACGAAAACCACCCACUUGCAUACAAAACUCCAUUUUUUACAUCAUUUCAACUUAAAACUUUUUUCAUGUUUAAUACACGUCACUGGAAGCCUAAUGCUCAAAUUUGGUCACUUUUUGAGUUGGUUUCCUACUUUUGUAGCAUUAAUUGGUUUUUGGCCACUAAAAAGGACAACGCUCUUCGGUUCCCAUUGACAUGCUAACAAGCUUGGAAAUGAAUGAAAUUUUGCAUGGGGUCACUUGAGAGCGUUACAACAAAAACUUGAUGUACUUCUUUUACGAGCUAAAUACUCUCCGGCAAAAUGUGAGUGUGUUGAACGCAACCACCCACUUCCACACAUAACUCCUUCUAUAUAUAUCAUUUCAACUUCAAACUUUUUCCAUGAUUAAUACACACCAAUAGAAGUACCAUUAUCAAAUUUGACUAUUCAGGGUUUAGUAAAUAUAUUUUUUCUCAUGGAUUUUCUGACUUAUUAUAUGUGUGGCGGGCGGUCUAGUAUGCCCGCCACUGCUAACAUUUGGAACUUUUGGAAAAUUUUGGCACGGGCGGCCAAAUAUUCAUGUGGCGGGCAUGGUUUUCUGAUCGCCACCAGUGCAUAACACACCAGUGGCAGGCAUGAGUUUGCUGCCCGCCACUGCUGCUUUUAUCCCAUGAGUAAAUUUGUAAAAUCUUACUAGUGGCAGGUAGUCAUUUUAGCCCGCCAUUGUUGUCCACAUAGCAGUGGUAGGUGCCUGUCCAUGCCCGCUACUAAAUUUAGCCCACCUGUAAGUCUUUUCCCAGUAGUAUUUGAUGAAGAAGCCCGCAACCUGUAGUCCAUAUGGCACAUAGUAAAGAGCAGUGGUUGAUUUUUGGCAAUGAGAACGCAUGAAUGAAGCAUCCAUUCCAAUAUGCUUAGUCAAAUGAUCAUAUGCUAUAUGUAUAGCUUCAUUAUUAUGAUAAAGAAAAGGUGUAGGAUCCUUUCCUUCCAUACCAAUAUCAGGUAAUAAGAAAUGAAGCCAUGCUACUUUCAAAGUAGUGGUGGCAAGGGCUUGAAGUUCAGCCUCGUUAGGGUUUAGCAGUAUAUCUAAUAGGACCAGAGGGGGUAUCGGAUCGCGAUCACGAUGUUAAACCGACUUGGUUUCUAAGUCGUAUACUUAUCGGACAAGAAAUGAUUAAUUUGUCUACCAAAACAUCAAAAAAUAAAGUGGUAAAAGAAAGUUGCACCGAUGCAAGGCAACAGACUGGAUUUUGGCGGUCCAUUCAUGCGCAUGUCGCCCGCCCCGCCCCAAGCCCGACUAGGCAAGGCGAGCGAGCGGGCGCGUGCGGUCUUCUAUUUCUCUUCUUCGCACAUCACUUAGUGUGAUGUAGAGAACCCACUAUAUAAGGUGGCCUAAUACUUCCUCCACUUGCGGUAUGAGGCUAAACUUUUAGCACCAACACUUGCCAUUUUUAUAUGGGCCACUUUGAGAUUUCAGAAAUUGUACAUGGGUAAAAGACCCAUUAUUUCUAACAUAUGUAAGUGUCGACAGGUGAUGCGUAGCUUUGUUGAUGUAGACCUCAAGCCAUGGUCAGACUUGCCAGCAGCUUCCACAACAGCUGCAGGAACGCAACAUUUUUAUGGGAUUUUAUCAUUUAUGCCACCGGUUGUAUCUCACUAUUCAGUUUUGCCACUAGGAAUUUCAACUACUCAAAAAUGUCAUCGCUACGUUAGGCGCAUGCUCAAAACUGCCACUAGACACCUUUAUUGUCAGCUCACAUCUCGUUUGCCAUGUAAUAAUGAUCAAAAUAUCUAUAGACCAACAUGUCAGCUCUCCCUCUACCUCAAUACAAUAAAAUGUGGGUCCCACUUGAUCCCAAUAGCGUUCUUAUUUGCCUCUAAAUUAUUUGCUUGCUUACUCCUGACAAGUGGGGUUCACACUUAUCAUUGUGAGAUAAAGAGAGCUGACGUGUGGGUAUAGUGGUAUGUUCGUCAUAUAACAUGGUCAACGAGUUUAACCUGACGAUAAAGAUGUCUAAUAGCAUUUUUGAGCAAAUAUCUAAUGAAACGACGACAUUUUUUUAGAUAUCUAAUGCCAUUUUUAAAUAGGCAUCUCACAGAACGAUGGCAUUUUUGAGCAAUUGUAACUUCUGAUGGCAAACCUGAGUACUCGGACACAACCACUAGCAUAAAUGAUAAAACCCCCUUUUAUGUAUAAUGUCAACUAGGUUUUUGAAAACUCGGACUUCCAUUAAAGCUUUGUUUCGAGAGGUCCAAAGUGACCAUGCUAGGGCCUCGAAUCUCAUCCAAGCCAAGUGUCUAUCAUGUCCCAAAGUUCCUUGCACAAUACGGAAAUAAUCUGAGAACCCCGAUAGGUUCCAUGAACACCCGGUGGCCUGUCGGAUGGCACUCCGGGCUAAACGAGUGACAAUGUAGCGGAAAAGGAUGUGGCAUGUUUUGUAUUCCCCAGAUCACACAAAUUUACCAUCCCAGGUCUUUUUUUUGCGAAAUCACUGAUACGUCUCCAACAUAUCUAUAAUUUUUUAUUGUUUCAUGCUAUUAUAUUACCCAUCUUGGAUGUUUUAUAUGAUGUCUUAUAUGAUUUUUGGGACUAACCUAUUAACCUAGAGCCCAGUGCGAGUUUCUGUUUUUUCCUUGCUUUUGUGUUUUACAGAAAAGGAAUAUCAAACGGGGUCCAAACGAGCUGAAAAUUCUCGAUGAUUUUUUAUGGACCAGAAGAAGCCCCCGAAGCAAAAGAGUUGGGCCAGAAGAGUCCCGAGUCAUCCAUGAGGAUGGAGGGCGCGCGCUACCCCCUGGUCGCGCCCCCCCCCUACCCCGUGGCUGACUCGGAGACCCCCCUCUGACGUGAAACCGACGCCAAAAAUUCCUAUAAACACAGAAACCCUCGAAAAGAAACCUAGAUCGGGAGUUUCGCCGCCACAAGCCUCUGUAGCCACCAAAAACCAAUCGGGACCCUGUUAUGGCACCCUGUCGGAGGUGGAUCCAUCACCGGUGGCGAUCUUCAUCAUCCCGGCGCUCUCCAUGAUGAGGAUGGAGUAGUUCACCAUCGGGGCUGAGGGUAUGUACCAGUAGCUAUGUGUUUGACCUCUCUCUCUCUCCUCCCUCUCUCUCUCUCUCUCUCGUGUUCUUUAUAUGGCACAAUCUUGAUGUAUCGCGAGCUUUGCUAUUAUAGUUGGAUCUUAUGAUGUUUCUCCCCCUCUACCUUCUUGUAAUGGAUUGAGUUUUCCCUUUGAAGUUAUCUUAUUGGAUUGAGUAUUUAAGGAUUUGAGAACACUUGAUGUAUGUCUUACAUGUGCUUAUCUGUGGUGACAAUGGGAUAUUCGCGUGAUCUACUUGAUGUAUGUUUUGGUGAUCAACUUGCGGGUUUCAGUGACCUUGUGAACUUAUGCAUAGGGGUUGGCACACAUUUUCGUCUUGACUCUCCGGUAGAAACUUUGGGGCACUCUUUGAAGUUCUUUGUGUUGCUUUGAAUUGAUGAAUCUGAGAUUGUGUGAUGCAUAUCGUUUAAUCAAACCCGUGAAUACUUGAGGUGACAUUGGAGUAUCUAGGUGACAUUAGGGUUUUGGUUGAUGUGUGUCUUAAGGUGUUAUUUUACUAUGAACUCUAGGGUUGUUUGUGACACUUAUAGGAAUAGCCCAAUGGAUUGAUCGGAAAGAAUAACAUUGAGGUGGUUUCGUACCCUACAAUAAUCUCUUUGUUUGUUCUCCGCUAUUAGUGACUUUGGAGUGACUCUUUGUUGCAUGUUGAUGGAUUUUUAUAUGAUCUAAUUAUGUUAUCGUUGUUGAGAGAACAUGCACUAGUGAAAGUAUGAACCCUAGGCCUUGUUUCCUAGCAUUGCAGUAUCGUUUCCGCUCAAUUUUACCACUUGCUACCUUGCCGUUUUUAUAUUUUCAGAUUACAAAAACCUAUAUCUACCAUCCAUAUUGCACUUGUAUCACCAUCUCUUCGCCGAACUAGUGCACCUAUACAAUUUACCGUUGUAUUGGGUGUGUUGGGGGACAAAAGAGACUCUUUGUUAUUUGGUUGCAGGGUUGUUUGAGACAGACCAUCUUCAUCCUAUGCCUCCCACAGAUUGAUAAACCUUAGGUCAUCCACUUGAGGGAAAUUUUCUACUGUUCUACAAACCUUUGCACUUGGAGGCCCAACAACGUCUACAAGAAGAAGGUUGCGUAGUAGACAUCAAGCUCUUUUCUGGCGCCAUUGACGGGGAGGUGAGUUCUUGAAGGUAUAUCUUUAGGUCUUGCAAUUGAAUCUUUUAGUUUCUUGUUCUACCACUAGUUUAGUUUGUAGAAGAAAACUACAAAAAAAUGGAAUUGAGGUUGCCUCAUAUGCUUCAUAUUUUUAAUGUCUUUCAUGAAAAUGAUGGAAAGGAAAAUUAUGCCCAAAUGUUAGAAGACGAAUGCAUUAAAAUGUUUGGCACUAAAUGAUGAGCAUGAUUGCAAUGUUAUUUGUAUGAAUUCCUUGAAUAUCCAUGAUGCUAAUGAUAUGCAAAGCCACAAGCUUGGGGAUGCUAUGUUUUAUGAAGAUGAUAUUUUUAGUCCCCCAAGUUUUGAUGAGAAAAUUUAUUUUGAUGAUAGCAUGCCUCCUAUUUAUGAUGAUUAUAUUGAUGAAAGUGGGUUUGGAAGAGUGUCAACUUUAGGAAGUAAUGAUCCCACUAUUUUGGAGGGUGUUGAAUCUUAUUGUGAUAAUUAUGAAAGUGGAUUUGGAGAGGUCAUGACUUUAUUUAGUUAUGAAUCCACUAUUUUGGAAGAGGUUCCAAUUGAUUAUGAGAAUAAAGUUGCUAUCUAUGAUGAUUAUUGUGAUGACAUGUAUGCUAUAAAAAAUAAUGAUAACCAUGAAACUUGUCAUCUUGAUUUUAAUUUUCAAUUGGACUAUGCCUCACAUGAUCGUUAUUUUGUUGAGUUUGCUCCCACUACUAUUCAUGAGAAUAAUUUUGCUUAUGUGGAGAGUAGUAAAAUUUCUGUGCUUGUGCAUCAUGAAAAUAAUGCUUUAUGUGGUAGUUAUAUUGUUGAAUUCAUUCAUGAUGCUACUGAAAAUUAUUAUGAGGGAGGAAUAUAUGUUUGUAGGAAUUGCAAUAAUAUCAAGUUUCCUCUCUGUGUGUUGAAAAUCUUGAAGUUUUGCUUAUUUUACCUUCCUAAGCUAGUUGAUUCUUAUUCCCAUAAAUUGUUUGCUCAUAAAUCCCUAUGCAUAGGAAGUGGGUUAGACUUAAAUGUGCUAGUCAUAUGCUUCAUGAUGUUCUCUUUAUGUUUCAAUUCUUAUCUUUUAUACGAGCAUCAUUAAAAUCAUCAUGCCUAGCUAAAAAGGCAUUAAAGAAAAGCGCUUAUUGGGAGACAACCCAAUAUUUACCCCUACUGUUUUUGUGUGUUCACAUGAUUAAGAUACUGUAGUAAUCAUGUUUUAUAGCUUUUUUUUCAAUAAAGUGCCAAGUAAAGCCUUUAGGUUAGCUUGUGGUGAUAGUUGUGUUGAUCCUGCUGAAAAUCAGAAACUUUUGCGCUCAGUAAAUAAUUUCCAGAAUCUUAUUGAAACGUGCUUUUGACCGGAUUCUUUUUUAUAUGGAUUGGUGCUCAAAUUUAUCAGGUGGAAUGAAUUUGUUCAGAAUUUUUGGAUUUAGAGAAGUAGGGAAAGUUUCCAGAUUACUUCAGAUUGUUCUGUUUGAUUUGGUUUUCUAUGUGUUGUUUGCUUAUUUUGAUGAAUCUAUGAGUAGUAUCGGAGGGUAUGAACAAUGGAAAAGUUGGAAUACAAUGGAUAUUACACCAAUAUAAAUAAAUAAUGAGUUCACAAUAGUACCAAAAGUGGUGAUUUAUUUUCUUAUACUAACGAAGCUUAUGAGAUUUUCUGUUGAGUUUUGUGUUGUGAAGUUUUCAAGUUUUGGGUGAAGUUUCGAUGGACUAUAGAAUAAGGAGUGGAAAGAGCCUAAGCUUGGGGAUGCCCAAGGGAUCCAAGGUAAUAUUCAAGGACAACAAAGAGCCUAAUCUUGGGGAUGCCCCGGAUGGCAUCCCCUCUUUCGUCUUCGUUCAUCGGUAACCUUACUUGGAGCUAUAUUUUUAUUCACCACAUGAUAUGUGUUUUGCUUGGAGCGUCAUUUUAUUUUAUUUUAUUUUGCUUUAUGUUUGAAUAAUUGAAGGAAAUAUGCCCUAGAGGCAAUAAUAAAGUUAUUAUUUAUUUCCUCAUAUCAUGAUAAAUGUUUAUUAUUCAUGCUAGAAUUGUAUUAACUGGAAACAUAGUACAUUUGUGAAUACAUAGACAAACAGAGUAUCACUAGUAUGCCUCUACUUGACUAGCUCAUUGAAUCAAAGAUGGUUAAGUUUCCUAACCAUAGACAUGAGUUGUUAUUUGAUUAACGGGAUCACAUCAUUAGGAGAAUGAUGUGAUUGACUUGACCCAUUUCGUUAGCUUAGCACUUGAUCGUUUAGUAUGUUGCUAUUGCUUUCUUCAUGACUUAUACAUGUUCCUAUGACUAUGAGAUUAUGUAACUCCCGCUUACGGAGGAACACUUUGUGUGCUACCAAACAUCACAGCGUAACUGGAUGAUUAUAAAGGUGCUCUACAGGUGUCUUCGAAGGUACUUGUUGAGUUGACCUAUUUCGAGAUUAGGAUUUGUCAUUCCGAUUGUCGGAGAGAUAUCUCAGGGCCCUCUCGGUAAUGCACAUCAUUAUAAGCCUUGCAAGCAAUGUAGCUAAUGAGUUAGUUAUAGGAUGAUGCAUUACGUAACAAGUAAAGAGACUUGCCGGCAACGAGAUUGAACUAGGUAUUGAGAUAGCGACGAUCGAAUCUUGGGCAAGUAACAUACCGAUGACAAAGGGAACAACAUAUGUUGUUAUGCGGUUUGACCGAUAAAGAUCUUCGUAGAAUAUGUGGGAGCCAAUAUGAGCAUCCAGGUUCCGCUAUUGGUUAUUGACCAGAGACAUGUCUCGGUCAUGUCUACAUAGUUCUCGAACCCGUAGGGUACACACGCUUAAAGUUCGAUGACGAUUAUAUUAUGAGUUUAUGUGUUUUGAUGUACCGAAGGUAGUUCGGAGUCCCGGAUGUGAUCACGGACAUGACGAGGAGUCUCGAAAUGGUCGAGACGUAAAGAUCGAUGUAUUGGACGACUAAAUUUGGACACCGGAAUGGUUCCGGGUGAGAUCGUGUCACGACCGGUUUUUCAAUAAAAUACUUAUUGAGAAAUCGAUCUCUUGAUUUCAGUAUUGGAAGAGUUAUCCCUACUGGUAGACAAAUACUUGAAAUACAUAGGACCAAUAGCAUUAAAUACAUUACAGGGUUGAGCUGAGGCUGCUCAACAAUUUAUUACAAACACGCCAAUAUUGUACAUAAGGGCGGUUAUGACACAGGGGUGUGGUGACAUGCUACUAGCUCGAGAUAAAAGUGGUGGUGGAUAACUUGACUCCUAAACUGGCAGCUCAUCGAGCGUCGAGGUGAGGCUCGAUGAAUUUAUUUCUGGGGUAGCGGAAGCGGAUAUAAUACAGUGACCAAAUACAGGAUCGCACGGGACUGACUGGGACUCCUCUAGGCGUCGGACUCGCUAUCAAACUCUUCAUCCAUGAGAUCGCUUUCAUCAACAUCUGGCCAAAUCAACAAGCCAGGUGAGUACUUUGAAAGUACUCGCAAGACAGUUCGGACAAAAGAUAUAACAAAUGCAUGCAUGAAUGCGUCAUGAACAAAUUAAUAAUGCUCAUUCUAAUAAUAAAAAUUUGCACGACAUGAUAAGUAAAACAAAUAUCUGAAAACCGAUCGGGUGUCUGGAGCGACGCCUCGAAAGGUAAACAAAUGAAAAUCAUGCCACAGUCGGGCAUCUAAGCGACACAACAUAAAGGGCUUAUAUUGAAAAGUAAAAGACAAGCGUGCCACAGUCGGACGUCUGGGCGACAUCGCAGAAAGGGCUUUUAUUGAAAAAUAAAUAACCAGCGUGCCACAGUCGGACGUCUAAGCGACAUCACAGAAAGGGCUUUUAUUGAAAAUAAAUAGCAAGCGUGCCACAGUCGAACGUCUGAGCGACAUCACAGAAAGGGCUUAUAUCAAUAGUAAAUAACAAGUGUGCCACCGUCGGACGUCUGAGCGACAUCAUAUAAAGGGCUUAUAUCAAAAGUAAAUAACAAGUGUGCCACAGUCGGACGUCUGAGCGACAUCGCAGAAAGGGCUUAUAUCAAAAGUAAAUAACAAGUGUGCCACAGUCGGACGUCUGAGCGACAUCACAGAAAGGGCUUAUAUCAAAAGUGAAUAACAUGUUAGUCCAUCCAUAAGAAUAAACUUUUUACCGGACUUAACACUCAUGUGGUUCACCGGAGUUUUGUCACUGAGACUGACAUUUGAUGAGAUAAGAUGAACAGUACUUGGACAUGUACAAGAUGAUUCAAAGGAUUUUUUUUGACUCUGCAGAGUUUGUAUUAAUUGCCCACAGCCAACGGAUUUCCGUAGUCACGAAUGACUAGUUCCAUUUACGGUAUUUCGGUAGAAACACAUUUAACCAGUACACACCCAUUCCACCUCACGAUGCCAGGGAUCACCCUUGACAACGUCCAAGAAAAACUUUGAGACGGGGAGGUCACAACCUCGAAUAGCAUGGGAUCAAAUUUCUAUACGCGCGCUCUAAGGGGUGCCCCCUCUCGGUCCCAACCGGAAACACCCAUGCCCCCUGACCGGAUGACGGGCUUUAAUCCAGGGCCAUGGAACCCUCAUCCCGGCCUCUCUAUUUGGUGUGUACCAGGAAAACGGUUUGCAACUUACUAAGCCAUAUUCCUUGUGGAAAACAUGUGGUAGUACGGGAAUAGAAAUGAAUGGGAAUGUGACUUGAUUCACGUUGAUACUGGAGUCAAAUAGACUGGCAUAAGACUGGCAUGCCACAAAACUGCCAUCUUACCCAUUCUCAUGCCAUCACAUGGCCAUGCAAAUUUAUAUCCAACAACAUAUGGAUUUCCGAAACUCACUUGCCUCAUUUUUGCAUGAAAUAUAACAUUCAACGAAAUGUUCAUAAACAUGCUAUGAUACUACUAAAUGCAAACAUGCAACAACCACUCAUCAUAUCAAGAGUUCAAACAAGCUUGCCUGGUUCGGAGUAGUCGAAGUCUAACUUGGCGAAGUUCAUGGCUCCGUCACCUCAUCCGAUAUCUACGGUAUAAGAAAAAUACGUACUUAUCGUAAAUACGGCGUGUGCACAGAAAAGUGUUCCAAAUAUUUUUCAAAUAAAUAUGACAAAAAACUAGACAGAAAAAUAAGAUGACAGAAAAAGAAUCAACCAAAAAUCAUUUUCUGUUUGAAAGUUAUAAAGGUUUUAAAACGAGGGACCCAUCUGUAAUGAAACCAAAAGUUUCCAGGGGGUCAAAUGAAUAAAACAGAAAACGAUUCGGAAAAAGAGAAAACUCUGACGAGGGGGGUCCCACCCAUCAGGUAUGAAUUUUUAAACGGGGAAGAACAGAGUCUGCCGGCGCCCGGGAGCUGCGGUGGUCGCUGGCGGUGAUCCACGGCGAGGCAGGGGGAUCUGGCGGUACCAGAGUGAUCAGCGUGUCCUUCCGCGUCGGUGGUUGUUGGUGGUGGUCGCCGGCGAGCACUAUGUCGAUGGCGGCCCUUGCUCCGGCGGACGGCGGCUCGGGUGGAGUUGGCUCUUGUCGGGGAGGGCUGCGAAGGUCAAAUCGAAGCUUGGGUUAGCUCACUGGGUGCCCGAGGUGGCUACUGACGUGGUUUGGGCGACGGGGAUAGCCUCACCGGAGUGAAUCGAGCUGAUGGCCGAGGCGGAUCGGGGCGGCCGAAGUUGGGGGAGGAGACCUCCUCGAGGUCCUCCUAGUGGCUUGGCGGAGUGAUUGUGAGGUGCAGUGGUGGUGCGUGCACGGGAGCGAGCUCGGGGCUCCUUUUUAUAGGCGAUCCGAGGCGGUGGCCGUGAACGGAGUUCUCCGGCGAUGGUUACGGCGGCGCAGAGCUUGGUCGGGGAGGUUUAGGGAGUUGGGCGUUAACGUGGAGUUCCACUGGUUCCAUUUUGACGCUAGACAAGCUUGGAUUAGGAGUCCUGGGUGGAUUCGACGGAACGGGGCGGCGCGGGCCCGUCGGCGGCAGAGGGCGUGCCCUGUGCUUGCCGGGCCACGGCGACGGUGCUGCGGGGGUGCGCUGGCAUGCAUGAGCCACGCGGAGGGCUAGGGAGCAAAGGGCGGCGCAGAACGGCGUAACGGGCCGGUGCUGGCUCCGUUUGGCCGCCACGGGUGGCCCUGCCACCGCAGAGGCUGCCGGCGUUGAAGAUGCUCGCCGCCACCGAUGCCUGCGUCCGUCCAAGCGGCCGUGCGGUGCUCUGGCCAGGGGAAGAGGCUGUGUGCAAAGCGCCAAGGUGCACGAGUGAUUAGUGACCAUUCCCUGACGAAAAAAACGACACUGCAAAAAUCUGAAUUUACUGAACUUACUGAAAAUGCACCUGAACAGUGCCGGCCAAGUGUUCGACGAAAUGGUUUUGGCAUGAGGGAAAUUUUCCUGGGGCUGAUCUUUGGUGUGGUGGUCUCUCAUUGCAUCUGAGGGCUGCCUGAAUUUUGGUAGAAUUUUUGGGGAAGAGGAGAUAUGAAUUUCACCAAAUUUGACAAAUCUGGUCCAAACUUGUAGAGGAUGAAACUUGGAAAUUUUGAAAAGUGGAAGAGUGGAUCUUGAUGGUUCUAGGUUGUGGGUGCCAAGGACUAUCCAGAGGAGUUGGUUUGAGAUCAAAACUCAAAGGUAAUUAGGCACUUCCUUUGUAGAGCAUCUAGGCUUAGAAUAAUUGGCAGAAUUGUUUUGGGGAGAAAAACAAAAGGAUAAAAAUCCAAAAGUGGAUUUAUCUUAUUGGGACAGAAUGUUUGGAUUGCCCUAAAGUGGAAGGAGGGGUUUUGGGAGAAAUUUACCACAAGAGGCAUGGUAAAACCAAGGAUGGAUCAAAACCAAAGAAUAGCUCCAAAACCAUUUAAGGUUCUUUUUGAAAAAAAAAUCCAAGAAAUGCUUUUGAGAAGGGAAACUCAGAAGAGAGGUUUUUAGGAAGGGUUUAAAUGAUCAUCUUCAAACCAAGCAAGGUUUUUGCUGAAAACAAAGACAAAUUUUUUUGGAGUAUCACAGCACCUACCCCCUUAGGAAAAAUCUCGUCCCCGAGAUUUCAGCUGAUCCUUAAACAGGUGUGGGUGCUCUGUCCGAAGAAAAUCCUCUCUUUCCCAAGUUGCUUCAUUCUCUGUGUGAUUGCUCCACUGAACUCUGAAAAACUUGAUGGUUUUCUGUCGGGUCCUCCUUUCAGACUCCUCUAAUAUUUUUAUUGGACGCUCUCGGUAGGUGAGGUCUGGUUGCACGUCAAUGUUUUCAUGUGAUACUUGCUUCUCUGGGUUGCUCACGUACUUCCUCAACUGCGAGAUGUGGAACACGUCGUGGACCUCGGAUAAAUCUUCGGGUAAGUCUAGCUGGUAGGCUACCGUGCCCCUUCGGGCCACUAUACAGAAUGGUCCGAUGAAUGUUGGUGCUAGCUUUCCCUUAACCUUGAAUCGUUGCAGACCCCUCAUAGGAGAAACUCUUAGGUACACAAACUCUCCGGGUUCAAAACUGAUUUCCCGAUGCUUUCGAUCGUAAUAACUCUUUUGUCGGCUCUGAGCUGUCUUGAGUCGAUCCCUAAUCAUCUUAACUUUUUCCUCAGCUUCCUUGAGCAUAUCUGGGCCGAAGAUAUGGCUUUCUCCGGUCUCUGACCAAUUUAGCGGUGUACGGCAUCUCCGCCCAUACAGAGCCUCAAAUGGUUCCAUUUGCAGGCUGGCUUGAUAACUGUUGUUGUAUGCGAACUCUGCAUACGUCAAGCUUUCUUCCCAACUGGUUCCAUAGGUGAGGACACAUGCUCUCAGCAUGUCUUCUAGAAUUUGGUUUACGCGUUCAGUCUAUCCAUCAGUCUGGGGGUGGUAUGCGGUACUGAAUGCUAGUUGAGUUCCCAUCGCCUGUUGUAGGUGAUCCCAAAACCUAGAGACGAAUUGUGUGUCUCUGUCGGAUAUUAUAGUCUUUGGGACUCCAUGCAGGCAGACGAUACGGGCAAGAUAAAGUCUGGCCAGCCUCUGAGUGGUGUGAGUUGUCUUCACCAGGAUGAAAUGUGCCACCUUAGUUAAUCUGUCGGUUAUGACCCAUAUGGCAUCAUUUCCGUGUCGUGAUCGAGGUAGUCCAACAAUGAAAUCCAUUCCUAUCUCGUCCCACUUCCACUCGGGUAUCUUGUUUGGCUGUAAUAGCCCGGCUGGUUUCUGGUGCUCGGCCUUGAUGCGUUGACAAGAGUCACAACAUGCAAUGAACGUGGCUAUGUCCCUUUUCAUACCGUGCCACCAAAAAUUUCCCUGAAGGUCCUUGUACAUUUUUGUUCCUCCAGGAUGGAUUGAAUACGGAGCGGUGUGGCUUUCAGCUAGAAUCUGCUGUUUGAGGUCCUUGAUAUUUGGUACGCAAAGUCUUUCUCCAUACCACAAUAUUCCUUGCUCGUCUACGUUGAAUUCUGAGGCCCUGCCCAAACUUACUUUCCUUUUUAUGCCAUCUAUGCUGGGGUGUCCAUGCUGAGCCUCCUUAAUCUUUUCCAUCAGGGUAGGCUGUAUUUCCAAAUUCCACACACUGCCUUUAGUGACCAUUAUUAAAUUGAGUUUGGCAAAUUCCUGUUGAAAUUCUGGUCUCAAAUUUGGUAUACUUUUGUUGUCCGAGCUGGGGUUCCGACUAAGGGCAUCUGCUACUACAUUUGCUUUUCCUGGAUGAUAGUGGAUUCCAACAUCAUAAUCCUUCACUAAUUCCAACCAGCGUUGUUGCCGUAGAUUGAGUUCUGGCUGUGUGAAAAUAUACUUGAGGCUCUUAUGGUCUGUGUAUAUUUCACAAUGAUUUCCAAGUAAAAAGUGCCUCCAUUCUUUGAGUGCAUGGAUGACUGCUACCAAGUCCAAGUCAUGAGUAGGAUAAUUAUCCUCAUGCUUGCGAAGUUGUCUGGAGACAUACACAACUACCUUUCCUUCUUGCAUCAAUACGCAUCCGAGGACCUUCCGGGAUGCAUCACAAUAUACCUCAAAAUUCUUGUGUAUGUCUGGUACAAUUAACACUGGUGCCGUUGUUAAUUUCCUUUUUAGCUCUUGGAAGAUUUUCUCACAUGCUUCCGUCCAUUCAAACUUCUUGUCUUUCUUGAGUAACUGCGUCAUUGGUUUUGCUAUGGUGGAGAAUCCUUCAAUAAAUCUCCGGUAAUAUCCUGCCAUUCCCAAGAAACUCCGUACGUCCGUUACGCUAGCUGGUGGUUUCCAGCCGAGUACGGCCUUGACCUUUUCCGGGUCUACGGCAAUACCUUCUUGGGUCAGUACAUGGCCCAGAAAACCCACCUGUCUUAGCCAAAAUUCACAUUUGCUGAACUUGGUGUACAGCUGAUGUUUCCUGAGUUCUCCUAGUACAAUUAUGAGAUGUUCAACGUGCUCUUUUGGUGUCUUGGAGUAUAUCAGAAUAUCAUCGAUGAAUACCACAACAAACUUGUCCAUAUACUUUAUAAAUACUUUGUUCAUGAGGUGAACAAAAUAUGCGGGGGCAUUUGUUAGUCCAAAUGGCAUUACUGUGAACUCAUAUAGUCCAUAUCUGGAGGUGAAGGCUGUCUUGGGGAUAUCUUCUGUUCGCACUUUUAAUUGGUGGUAUCCCGACGUCAAGUCAAUUUUUGAGAAGACUUUGGCCUGAGCGAGCUGAUCAAAUAAAUCAUUUAUCCGUGGCAUUGGGUAUUUGUUCUUGAUUGUGACCAUGUUAAGAGCUCGAUAGUCUAUACACAAUCUCAGUGUCCCAUCCUUUUUCUUGGCAAAUAAGAUUGGAGAUCCCCAAGGUGAGGAACUGGCUCGUAUGUAUCCUUUCUCCAACAAUUCCUUUAUUUGCUUCUUCAAUUCUACCAACUCAGAUGGUGCCAUUAUGUAUGGUUUCUUGUAAAUGGGAGCGGUUCCGGGUGCUAGCUCAAUGCUGAAUUCUAUCUCUCGGUCUGGUGGCAUGCCUGGUAGUUCUUCUGGAAAUACGUCUGGAAAUUCACACACUACUGGAACCUUGUUCAACUCAGAAACUUCCACCUUGUUCAAUCUCGGUUGCCGAGAUAUUUGUCUCUCUUUGGCUGAAACUUUUAUUGUCUUCCCGUGAUGGUGUGUGAGAAUUACGGUCCGGUUGAAGCAGUCAAUAAAACCUUUAUUGGUGGUUAACCAAUCCAUCCCUAGGAUGACAUCCAGACCUUUACUUUCCAAUACAAUAAGGUUGGCGUAAAACUUCAAUCCUUCGAAUUCAAUAACCACACCUUGAUAGUAACUCUGGGUCAUAUGCUUGAUCCCAGGGGACUUGAUGAUCAUGGACUUUUCCAAGGGAAGCAUCGAAAAAUUAUUUUGCAAGACAAAACUCUUCGAAAUGAAUGAGUGAGAAGCUCCAGAAUCAAACAAAACCAUGGCAAGUAUUGUGUUGACAGGGAACGUAUCGAGUACGAUAUCUGGGGCGUUCUGUGCUUCCUCUUUGGUCACGUGGUUCAGAUGACCCUUCCUGUGGUUGUUAUUGGGGUUGAAAUUGUUUCGCUUGGGCGCUGAAUUAUUGCCACUAUUGUUUGGCUUUGGGGUCGAGUUCCUUGGCUUGGGGCACUGCUUCGCAUAGUGCCCUUCUUCUCCAUAAGCGUAGCAAGUAACGCCUGGGCGAUAUGUGAACUCCUUGUCCCUUGCAUGAAAAUUCUUGAUUGGGCAUGAAUUAUUCGUCGUGGGUUUAUGUGUCCCACCUUUCUGAAAUUCUGUCUUGCUUCGGUGGUUGCGAGCAAAAGUAGACUGGUCCCUUUUGCGUUUGCAGAAAUCUUCCAAGCCGCGUUGCUCAUUUUCCAAGGUAAUAGCCUUAUCCACCAGUGUUUUAAAAUCUGGGAAGGUGUGCACGACCAGCUGGCAUUUAAGCGCGGGUGCUAGGCCUUCCAAGAAUUUUUCCAUCUUCUUGCUUUCGGUCAUACGCUCUUUGUUGGCGUAGCGAGACAGCAGAGUAAACUGGCUAUUGUAUUCUGACAUUGUCAUGGUCCUCUGUUUGAGGUCAUCAAAUUCUCUCUUCUUGAUUUUCAUAACACUUUUAGGAAUGUGUGCCCCACGAAAACCUUCUUUGAAAUCCUCCCAGGUUAUUUCAUUUUCGUUGGGGUGCAUGUGUAGGAAAUUUUCCCACCACGAUGCAGCUGCUCCCGUGAGAUAAUGCGGUGCAUAUAGUACUUUCUCACGGUCUGAUCACUGUGCAAUAACUAAUUUUCUCUCCAUGUCUCGAAGCCAGUCGUCGGCCUCAAGAGGUUUGUCAGUAUGAGAAAAUGUUGGAGGACGCGUCUUCUGUAGCUCAGACAACUUGGAUUGCUGUUGAUACUGUCCAUGGUGAUUUCCCAUAUUGAUGACUUGGUUCAUCAUUUCCUGAUGUUGUUGCUGACUCUGCUCAUAAAGGCGGCAUACUUGGGUGAAUGCUGUUUCACUGUCCUGUUGACUAGACUGUCCCUGUGUGAAAUUGUUGUUUGGUGGUGUGCCAUAAUUUUCCUCGGGCUGAUUUGGCAUGGAGCGCGUCCAAGGACGAGACAUCUCUCACUCUGGGGAUAUAUUUUGUGAAACUCGUAAGAUAAGAAAAAGAGUCGCAAAAGCCAAAAUUUCUUAAAUACGGAAAUUUUAAAAACUCUAGAAUUUUUCAAGAAAAAAUCAACGAUUGCGCACGGAGAAGGACUAUUACAUAUCUUACAUGCAAGUAGUAAUUAUACAAUACAUCACUCAGGAUAUGCGUACAUAUUCCUGACAUGUUAUUUAGUCUAGUGCACUUCUCCAUACCCUACAUGAUGCGCAAACAAGCUACUUCUCACAACCUAUGUACAUAUAAACAUAUAGCACAAGUCGGUACAUAGCAUGGCGGCUAAGCGUACUCAGUCGGAGAUGGUGAGGAUCUCCCUUGGCCUGCCGAGGGUGAGGCGCAGAGAGGCGGGGGACUCAACUUCCUCCUCGCCAAUAGGCUCCAGACGUGAAGCACUGCGCUGAGCUGGUGGAGCGGGUGCCAUAGGCGGAGUAACACGAACAGGAGUGGGCGCAAAAGGUGGAGUAAUGCGAAUAGGAGUGGGCGCAAUGACUUGGUUGAACUCCUCGGUGGUAGGUAGUCGACGAGUAGUGGCGAGAAUGGUAGGUGAAUGGGAUGCCGAUGACGAGAUGAAAGUCAGCGGUGGAGCGGUGUGCAGGAGUUCCCUCCUGUUGGCGGCACAGCCAUGGACCGAGUCCAUGCGGGCAGCAACAAGGUCGUCCACCAUGCUAUCGAAGGCUGCCUCCAGAGCUCGGAGGUACUCAAGUAGCAUCUCAAAGGCCUCGUCACGCUCUCCUCUGGGGCAAGCGAAUGAGUAGUGACAGGUGUAUGGCACGUGGCAUGGAAGAUAGCGGUAGCGACGAGUCUUCAUUGCAGGAAGAACAUCCUGGAGACGAGCUAUCGCCUCACGGGCAGCCAUCUGCAUAGCAUGCCUCUCUGUAGGCAUGGCUCUCCCCAAGAACCGGAAGCGGCGUAACUCAACACGCCCUCCCUUGAAUUGCACCGUGGCCUGGUGCAUGGUCAGACUGUCAUUGAUCUUGUGUGGGUAGAGUGUGAAGACGGGGCACACUGAUGGCCCCAUCGCGACCUGGACGAUGAAGGAGAGGAGCUUGACGAACCCCUCAGGCACGUUGGCGAACACCUGUGACUCACAGUCGUUGCCAGCCAUCUACAAGAGUAGGCGAAAAUUCUGAAUGGUCAGAUCAUAAAUUUAUGCUGACUGUCAGAAAAUGACUACAUUUGUAAAAAUAAGAAUAAACUCUACUAUGCUAAUAACCGAUUAGCGAUCGCACCUAGUGGCUUCCUACAGUCAGCCUGGCUCUGGUACCAAGUUUGUCACGACCAGUUUUUCAAUAAAAUACUUAUUGAGAAAUCAAUCUCUUGAUUUCAGUAUAGGAAGAGUUAUCCUUACUGGUAGACAAAUACUUGAAAUACAGAGGACCAGUAGCAUUAAAUAUAUUACAGGGUUGAGCCGAGGCUGCUCAACAAUUUAUUACAAACACGCCAAUAUUGUACAUAAGGGCGGUUAUGACAUAGGGGUGUGGUGACAUGCUACUAGCUCGAGAUAAAAGUGGUGGUGGAUAACUUGACUCCUAAACUGGCAGCUCAUCGAGCAUCGAGGUGAGGCUCGAUGAAUUUAUUUCUGGGGUAGCGGAAGCGGAUAUAAUACAGUGACCAAAUACAGGAUCGCACGGAACUGUCUGGGACUCCUCUAGGCGUCGGACUCGCUAUCGAACUCUUCAUCCAUGAGAUCGCUUUCAUCAACAUCUGGCCAAAUCAACAAGCCGGGUGAGUACUUUGAAAGUACUCGCAAGACAGUUCGGACAAAAGAUAUAACAAAUGCAUGCAUGAAUGCGUCGUGAACAAAUUAAUAAUGCUCAUUCCAAUAAUAAAAAUUUGCACGACAUGAUAAGUAAAACAAAUAUCUGAAAACCGAUCGGAUGUCUGGAGCGACGCCUCGAAAGGUAAACAAAUGAAAAUCAUGCCGCAGUCGGGCGUCUAAGCGACACCACAUAAAGGGCUUAUAUUGAAAAGUAAAAGACAAGCGUGCCACAGUCGGACGUCUGGGCGACAUCGCAGAAAGGGCUUUUAUUGAAAAAUAAAUAACCAGCAUGCCACAGUCGGACGUCUAAGCGACAUCACAGAAAGGGCUUUUAUUGAAAAUAAAUAGCAAGCGUGCCACAGUCGGACGUCUGAGCGACAUCACAGAAAGGGCUUAUAUCAAUAGUAAAUAACAAGUGUGCCACAGUCGGACGUCUGAGCGACAUCACAGAAAGGGCUUAUAUUAAAAGUAAAUAACAAGUGUGCCACAGUCGGACGUCUGAGCGACAUCACAGAAAAGGCUUAUAUCAAAAGUAAAUAACAAGUGUGCCACAGUCGGACGUCUGAGCGACAUCAUAGAAAGGGCUUAUAUCAAAAGUGAAUAACAGGUUAGUCCAUCCAUAAGAAUAAACUUUUAACCGGACUUAACACUCAUGUGGUUCACCGGAGUUUUGUCACUGAGACUGACAUUUGAUGAGAUAAGAUGAACACAGUACUUGGACAUGUACAAGAUGAUUCAAAGGAUUUUUUUUUCUGACUAUCCAGAGUUUGUACUAAUUGCCCACAGCCAACGGAUUUCCGUAGUCACGAAUGACUAGUUCCGUUUACGGUAUUUUGGUAGAAACACAUUUAACCAGUACACACCCAUUCCACCUCACGAUGUCAGGGAUCACCCUUGACAACGUCCAAGAAAAACUUUGAGACGGGUAGGUCACAACCUCGAAUAGCAUGGGAUCAAAUUUCUAUACGCGCGCUCUAAGGGGUGCCCCCCCUCUCAGUCCCAACCGGAAACACCCAUGCCCCCUGAGCGGAUGACGGGCUUUAAUCCAGGGCCAUGGAACCCUCAUCCCGGCCUCUCUAUUUGGUGUGUACCAAGAAAACGGUUUGCAACUUACUAAGCCAUAUUUCUUGUGGAAAACAUGUGGUAGUACGGGAAUAGAAAUGAAUGGGAAUGUGACUUGAUUCACGUUGAUACUGGAGUCAAAUAGACUGGCAUAAGACUGGCAUGCCACAACACUGCCAUAUUACCCAUUCUCAUGCCAUCACAUGGCCAUGCAAAUUUAUAUCCAACAACAUAUGGAUUUCCGAAACUCACUUGCCUCAUUUUUGCAUGAAAUAUAACAUUCAACGAAAUGUUCAUAAACAUGCUAUGAUACUACUAAAUGCAAACAUGCAACAACCACUCAUCAUAUCAAGAGUUCAAACAUGCUUGCCUGGUUCGGAGUAGUCGGAGUCUAACUUGGCGAAGUUCGCGGCUCCGUCACCUCCUCCGGUAUCUACGGUAUAAGAAAAAUACGUACUUAUCGUAAAUACCGCGUGUGCACAGAAAAGUGUUCCAAAUAUUUUUCAAAUAAAUAUGACAAAAAACUAGACAGAAAAAUAAAGAUGACAGAAAAAUAAUCAACCAAAAAUCAUUUUCUGUUUGAAAGUUAUAAAGGUUUUAAAACCAGGGACCCAGCUGUAAUGAAAUAGAAAGUUUCCAGGGGUCAACUGAAUAAAACAGAAAACGAUUCGGAAAAAGAGAAAACUCUGGCGAGGGGGGUCCCACCCGUCAGGUUUGAAUUUUUAAACGGGGAAGAACAGAGUCUGCCGGCGCCCGAGAGCUGAGGUGGUCGCCGGCGGCGAUCCACGGCGAGGCAGGGGGAUCGGGCGGUACCAGAGUGAUCAGCGUGUCCUUCCGUGUCGGUGGUUGGUGGUGGUGGUCACCGGCGAGCACUACGUCGACGGCGACCCUUGCUCCGGCGGACGGCGGCUCGGGUGGAGUUGGCUCUCGUCGGGAGGGCAGCGAAGGUCAAAUUGAAGCUUGGGUUAGCUCACUGGGUGCCCGAGGUGGCUACUGACGUGGUUUGGGCGACGGGGAUAGCCUCACCGGAGUGAAUCAAGCUGAUGGUCGAGGCGGAUCGGGGCGGCCGGAGUUGGGGGAGGAGACCUCCUCGAGGUCCUCCUAGUGGCUUGGCGGAGUGAUUGUGAGGUGCAGUGGUGGUGCGUGCACGUGAGCGAGCUCGGGGCUCCUUUUUAUAGGCGAUCCGAGGCGGUGGCCGUGAACGGAGUUCUCCGGUGAUGGUUACGGCGGCGCAGAGCUUGGUCGGGGAGGUUUAGGGAGUUGGGCGUCCACGUGGAGUUCCACUGGUUCCGUUUUGACGGUAAAUAAGCUUGGAUUAGGAGUCCUGGGUGGAUUCGACGGAACGGGGCGGCGCAGGCCCGUCGGUGGCAGAGGGCGUGCCUUGUGCUUGCCGGGCCACGAUGAUAGUGCUGCGGGGGUGCGCUGGAAUGCAUGAGCCACGCGGAGGGCUAGGGAGCAAAGGGCGGCGCAGAACGGCGUAACGGGCCGGUGCUGGCUCCGUUUGGCCGCCACGGGUGGCCCUGCCACCGCAGAGGCUGUCGGCGUUGAAGAUGCUCGCCUCCACCGAUGCCUGCGUCCGUCCAAGCGGCCGUGCGGUGCUCUGGCCAGGGGGAAGAGGCUGUGUGCAAAGCGCCAAGGUGCACGGGUGAUCAGUGACCAUUCCCCGACGAAAAAAAUGACACUGCAAAAAUCUGAAUUUACUGAACUUACUGAAAAUGCACCUGAACAGUGCCGGCCAAGUGUUCGACGAAAUGGUUUUGGCAUGAGGGGAAUUUUCCUCGGGCUGAUCUUUGGUGUGGUGGUCUCUCAUUGCAUCUGAGGGCUGCCUGAAUUUUGGUAGAAUUUUUGGGGAAGAGGAGAUAUGAAUUUCACCAAAUUUGACAAAUAUGGUCCAAACUUGCAGAGGAUGAAACUUGGAAAUUUUGAAAAGAGGAAGAGUGGAUCUUGAUGGUUCUAGGUUGUGGGUGCCAAGGACUAUCCAGAGGAGUUGGUUUGAGAUCAAAACUCAAAGGUAAUUAGGCACUUCCUUUGUCGAGCAUCUAGGCUUAGAAUAAUUGGCAGAAUUGUUUUGGGGAGAAAAACAAAAGGAUAAAAAUCCAAAAGUGGAUUUAUCCUAUUGGGACAGAAUGUUUGGAUUGCCCUAAAGUGGAAGGAGGGAUUUUGGGAGAAAUUUACCACAAGAGGCAUGGUAAAACCAAGGAUGGAUCAAAACCAAAGAAUAGCUCCAAAACCAUUUAAGGUUCUUUUUGAAAAAAAAAAUCCAAGAAAUGCUUUUGAGAAGGGAAACUCAGAAGAGAGGUUUUUAGGAAGGGUUUAAAUGACCAUCUUCAAACCAAGAAAGGCUUUUGCUGAAAACAAAGACAAAUUUUUUUGGAGUGUCACAGAUCGUCAUAAUACCGGAGCUCCGGGAGGUUAUCGGAACCCCCCGGGAGGUAUAUGGGCCUUAACGGGCUUUAGUGGAAAGGAGGGGAAAGGAGCAAUGGAGCCCCCCCCCCCAAGCCCAAUCCGAAUUGGGAGGGGGGCCGAUGUUGGGGAACGUAGUAAUUUCAAAAAAAUUCCUAUGCACACGCAAGAUCAUGGUGAUGCAUAGCAACGAGAGGGGAGAGUGUGUCCACGUACCCUCGUAGACCGAAAGCGGAAGUAUUAGCACAUCGCGGUUGAUGUAGUCGUACGUCUUCACGGCCCGACCGAUCAAGCACCGAAAGCACGACACCUCCGAGUUCUUGCACACAUUUAGCUCGAUGACGUCCCUCGAACUCCGAUCUAGCCGAGUGUCAAGGGAGAGUCCCGUCAGCACGACGGCGUGGUGACGAUGAUGAUGUUCUACCGUCGCAGGGCUUCACCUAAGCACCGCUACAAUAUUAUCGAGGUGGACUAUGGUGGAGGGGGGCACCGCACACGGCUAAGAGAUCCAGGGGAUCAAUUGUUGUGUCUCGAGGUGCCCCCUGCCCCCGUAUAUAAAGGAUCAAGGGGGAGGGGGCGGCCGGCCAGGAGGAGGCGCGCCAAGGGGGAGUCCUACUCCCACCGGGAGUAGGACGCCUCCUUCCCUUGUUGGAGUAGGAGAGAAGGAAAGAGGGGGAGAGGAGGAAGGAAAAGGGGGCUGCACCCCUUGUCCAAUUCGGACCAGAGGGGGGCUGCGCGCCUCCUUCCUUUCGGCCUCUCUCCUCUAUUCCCGUAUGGCCCAAUAAGGCCCAUAUACUCCCCGGCGAAUUCCCUUAACUCUCCAGUACUCCGAAAAAUACCUGAAUCACUCGAAACCUUUCCGAAGUCCGAAUAUAGUCGUCCAAUAUAUCGAUCUUUACGUCUCGACCAUUUCGAGACUCCUCGUCAUGUCCCCGAUCUCAUACGGGACUCCAAACUCCUUCGGUACAUCAAAACACAUAAACUCAUAAUAUAACUGUCAUCUAACUUUAAGCGUGCGAACCCUACGGGUUCGAGAACAAUGUAGACAUGACCAAAACAUAUUUCCGGUCAAUAACCAAUAGCGGAACCUGGAUGCUCAUAUUGGCUCCCACAUAUUCUACGAAGAUAUUUAUCGGUCAAACCGCAUAACAACAUAUGUUGUUCCCUUUGUCAUCGGUACGUUACUUGCCCGAGAUUUGAUCGUCGGUAUCUCAAUACCUAGUUCAAUCUCGUUACCGGCAAGUCUCUUUACUCGUUCCGUAAUACAUCAUCCCGCAACUAACUAAUUAGUUGCAAUGCUUGCAAGGCUUAUAGUGAUGUGCAUUACCGAAUGGGCCCAGAGAUAUCUCUCCGACAAUCGAAGUGACAAAUCCUAAUCUCGAAAUACGCCAACCCAACAAGUACCUUUGGAGACACCUGUAGAGCACCUUUAUAAUCACCCAGUUACGUUGUGAUGUUUGGUAGCACACAAAGUGUUCCUCUGGUAAACGGGAGUUGCAUAAUCUCAUAGUCACAGGAACAUGUAUAAGUCAUGAAGAAAGUAGUAGCAACAUACUAAACAAUCAAGUGCUAAGCUAACAGAAUGGGUCAAGUCAAUCACAUCGUUCUCCUAAUGAUGUGAUCCCGUUAAUCAAAUGACAACUCUUUGUCCAUGGCUAGGAAACAUAACCAUCUUAGAUAAACGAGCUAGUCAAGUAGAGGCAUACUAGUGACACUUAGUUUGUCUAUGUAUUCACACAUGUAUCAUUUUCCGGUUAAUACAAUUCUAGCAUGAAUAAUAAACAUUCAUCAUGAUAUAAGGAAAUAAAUAAUAACUUUAUUAUUACCUCUAGGUCAUAUUUCCUUCAGUCUCCCACUUGCACUAGAGUCAAUAAUCUAGUUCACAUCGCCAUGUGAUUUAACACCAAUAUUCACAUCUGUAUGUGAUUAAUACCCAAUAGUUCACAUCAUCAUGUGAUCUACACCCAAAGGGUUUACUAGAGUCAAUAAUUUAGCUCAGAUCGCUAUGUGAUUAACACCCAAAGAGUACUAAGGUAUGCUCAUGUUUUGCUUGUGAGAGAAGUUUAGUCAACGGGUCUAUCACAUUCUGAGUCGUAUGUAUUUUGCAAAUAUUCUAUGUCUACAAUGCUCUGCACGGAGAUACUCUAGCUAAUUGCUCCCACUUUCAAUAUGUAUCCAGAUUAAGACUUAGAGUCAUCUGGAUCACUGCCAAAACUUGUAUCGACGUAACCCUUUACGACGAACCUUUUGUCACCUCCAGAAUCGAGAAACAUAUCCUUAUUCCACUAAGGAUAAUUUUGACCAAUGUCGAGUGAUCUACUCCUAGAUCACUAUUGUACUCCCUUGCCAAACCAGGGCAGAGUAUACAAUAGGUCUAGUCCAUGGCAUACUUUUAUAGAACCUAUGACUGAUGCAUAGGGAAUGACUUUCAUUCUCUUGCUAUUUUCUGCCGUGGUCGGGAUUUGAGUCUUACUCAAUUUCAUACCUUUGCAACACAGACAAGAACUCUUUCUUUGACUCUUCCAUUUUGAACUACUUCAAAAUCUUGUCAAGGUAUGUACUUAUUGAAAAUCUUAUCAAGCGUCUUGAUCUAUCUCAAUAGAUCUUGAUGCUCAAUAUGUAAGUAGCUUUACUGAGGUCUUUCUUUUAAAUAACUCCUUUCAAAUACUUCUUUAUACUUCUGAUCAACAAUAUGUCACUCACAUAUAAUUAUCAGAAAGGCUGUAGUGCUCCCACUCACUUUAUUGUAAAUACAGGCUUCACUACAAGUCCAUAUAAAACUAUAUGCUUUGAUCAACUUAUCAAAGCAUAUAUUCCAACUCCAAGAUGCUUGCACCAGUCCAUAGAUGGAUCGCUGGAGCUUGCACAAUUUGUUAGCACCUUUGGGAUUGACAAAACCUUCUGGUUGCAUCAUAUACAACUCUUCUUUAAUAAAUCCAUUAAGGAAUGCAGUUUUGACAUCCAUUUGCCAGAUUUCAUAAAAUGUGGCAAUUGCUAAUAUGAUUCGGACAGACUUUAAGCAUCGAUACGAGUGAGAAAAUCUCAUUGUAUUCAACACCUUGAACUUGUCGAAAAACUUUUUGCGACAAGUCGAGCUUUGUAGAUAGUAACACUACUAUCAGUGUCUGUCUUUCUCUUGAAGAUCCAUUUAUUUUCUAUGGCUUGCCGAUCAUCGGGCAAGUCCACCAAAGUCCACACUUCGUUCUCAUGCAUGGAUCCCAUCUCAGAUUUCAUGGCCUCAAACCAUUUCGCAGAAUCUGGGCUCAUCAUCGCUUCCUCAUAGUUCAUAGGUUUAUUAUGGUCUAGUAACAUGACUUCCAGAACAGGAUUACCGUACCACUCUGGUGCGGACCGUACUUCCGGAAGACCUACGAGGUUCCGUAGUAACUUGAUCUAAAGUUUCAUGAUCAUCAUCAUUAGCUUCCUCACUAAUUGGUGUAGGAAUCACUGGAACUGAUUUCAGUGAUAAACUAUUUUCCAAUUCAGGAGAAGGUACUAUUACCUUAUCAAGUUCUACUUUUCUCCCACUCACUUCUUUCGAGAGAAACUCCUUCUCUAGAAAGGAUCCAUCUUAGCAACGAAUAUCUUGCCUUUGGAUCUAUGAUAGAAGGUGUACCCAACAGUUUCCUUUGGGUAUUCUAUGAAGACACACUUCUCCGAUUUAGGUUCGAGCUUAUCAGGUUGAAAAUUUUUCACAUGAGCAUCGUAGCCCCAAACUUUAAGAAACGACAACUUUGGUUUCUUGCCAAACCACAGCUCAGAAGCCGUCGUCUCAACGGAUUUUGAUGGUGCCCUAUUUAAAGUGAAUGCAACUGUCUCUAAUGCAUAACCCCAAAACGAUAGUGGUAAACCGAUAAGAGACAUCAUAGGUCGCACAAUAUCCAAUAAAGUGUGGUUACGACGUUCGGACACACCAUAAUGUUGUGGUGUUCCAAGUGGUGUGAACUGUGAAACUAUUCCACAUUGUUUUAUAUUAAGGCCAAACUCGUAACUCAAAUAUUCUCCUCCACGAUCAGAUCGUAGAAACUUUAUUUUCUUGUUACAAUGAUUCUUCACUUUGCUCUAAAAUUCUUUAAACUUUUCAAAUGUUUCAGACUUGUGUUUUAUUAAGUAGAUAUACUCAUAUCUGCUCAAAUCAUCUUGUGAAGGUAUGAAAAUAACGAUACCCGCCAUGAGCAUCAAUACUCAUUGGACCGCAUACAUCAGUAUGUAUUAUUUCCAAUAGGUCACUAGCUCGUUCCAUGGUUCCGGAGAACGGAGUUUUAGUCAUCUUGCCCAAAAGGCACGGUUCGCAAGCAUCAAAUGAUUCAUAGCCAAGUGAUUCUAAAAAUCCAUUUUUAUGGAGUUUCUUCAUGCGCUUUACACUGAUAUGACCCAAAUGGCAGUGCCACAAAUAAGUUGCACUAUCAUUAUAAACUUUGCAUCUUUUUGGCAUCAAUGUUAUGAAUAUGUGUAUCACUACGAUCGAGAUCCAAUAAACUAUUUUCAUUGGGUGUAUGACCAUCGAAGGUUUUAUUCAUGUAAACAGAACAACAAUUAUUCUCUGACUUUAAAUGAAUAACCGUAUUGCAAUAAACAUGAUCAAAUCAUAUUUAUGCUCAAUGCAAACGCCAAAUAACAUUUAUUUAGGUUUAACACUAAUCCCGAAAGUAUAGAGAAUGUGCAAUGAUGAUCAUAUCAAUCUUGGAACUACUUCCAACACUCAUCGUCACUUCACCCUCAACUAGUCUCUGUUUAUUCUGUAACUCCUGUUUCGAGUUACUAGUUUUUAGCAACCAAACAAGUAUCAAAUACUCAGGGGCUACUAUAAACACUAGUAAGGUACACAUCAAUAACCUGUAUAUCAAGUAUACCCUUGUUCACUUUGCCAUCCUUCUUAUCCACCAAAUAUUCAGGGCAUUUCCGCUUCUAGUGACCAUUUCCUUUGCAGUGUAAGCACUCAGUUUCAGGCUUUGGUCCAGCUUUGGGCUUCUUCGCGGGAGUGACAACUUGCUUGUCAUUCUACUUGAAGUUCCCUUUCUUUCCCUUUGCCCUUUUCUUGAAACUAGUGGUCUUGUCAAUCAUCAACACUUGAUGCUCUUUCUUGAUUUCUACCUUCCUCGAUUUCAGCAUCACGAAGAGCUCGGGAAUCGUUUUCGUCAUCCCUUGCAUUAUAGUUCAUCACGAAGUUCCAAUAACUUGGUGAUGGUGACUAGAGAACUCUACCAAUCACUAUCUUAUCUGGAAGAUUAACUCCCACUUGAUUCAAGCGAUUGUAGUACUCAGACAAUCUAAGUAUUUUCUCACUAGUUGAGCAAUUCUCCUCCAUCUUUUAGGCGAAGUAUUUGUCAAAGGUCUCAUACCUCUUGACACGGGCAUGAGUCUGAAAUACCAAUUUCAUCUCUUGAAACAUCUUAUAUGUUCUAUGACGUUUCAAAAACAUUUUUGUAGUCCCGGUUCUAAGCCAUAAAGCAUGGUGCACAAAACUCUCAAGUAGUCAUCAUAUUGAGCUAGCAAAACGUUCACAAUGUCUGCAUCUGCUUCUACAAUAGGUCUGUCACGUAGCGGUGCAUAAAGGACAUAAUUCGUCUGUGCAGCAAUGAGGAUAAACCUCAGAUCACGAACCAAGUCCGCAUUAUUGCUACUAACAUCUUUCAACUUAGUUUUCUCUAGGAACACAUAUAAAACAUAGGGAAGCAACAACGCGAGCUAUUGAUCUACAACAUAAUUUGCAAAAUACUACCAGGACUAAGUUCAUGAUAAUUUAAAGUUCAAUUAAUCAUAUUACUUAAGAACUCCCACUUAGACAGACAUCUCUCUAGUCAUCUAAGUGAUCACGUGAUCCAAAUCAACUAAACCAUGUCCAAUCAUCACGUGAGAUGGAGUAGUUUUCAAUGGUGAACAUCACUAUGUUGAUCAUAUCUACUAUAUGAUUCACGUUCGACCUUUCGGUCUCUGUGUUCCAAGGCCAUAUCUGUAUAUGCUAGGCUCGUCAAGUUUAACCUGAGUAUUCCGCGUGUGCAACUAUUUUGCACCCGUUGUAUUUGAACGUAGAGCCUAUCACACCCGAUCAUCACGUGGUGUCUCAACACGAAGAACUUUCGCAACGGUGCAUACUCAGGGAGAACACUUCUUGAUAAUUAGUGAGAGAUCAUCUUAAAAUGCUACCGUCAAUCAAAGCAAGAUAAGAUGCAUAAAGGAUAAACAUCACAUGCAAUCAAUAUAAGUGAUAUGAUAUGGCCAUCAUCAUCUUGUGCUUGUGAUCUCCAUCUCCGAAGCACCGUCGUGAUCACCAUCGUCACCAGCGCGACACCUUGAUCUCCAUCGUAGCAUCGUUGUCGUUUCGCCAUCUAUUGCUUCUACGACUAUCGCUACCGCUUAGUUUUAAAGUAAAGCAAUUACAGGGCGCUUGCAUUUCAUACAAUAAAGCGACAACCAUAUGGCUCCUGCCAGUUGCCGAUAACUCGGUUACAAAACAUGAUCAUUCCAUACAAUAAAAUAUAGCAUCGCGUCUUGAUCAUAUCACAUCACAACAUGCCCUGCAAAAACAAGUUAGACGUCCUCUACUUUGUUGUUGCAAAUUUUACGUGGCUGCUACGGGCUGAGCAAGAACCGUUCUUACCUACGCAUCAAAACCACAACGAUAGUUCGUCAAGUUAUUGCUGUUUUAACCUUCUCAAGGACCGGGCGUAGCCACACUCGGUUCAACUAAAGUUGGAGAAACUGACACCCGCUAGUCACUUGUGUGCAAAGCAUGGCGGUAAAACCAGUCUCGCGUAAGCAUACACGUAAUGUCGGUUCGGGCCGCUUCAUCCAACAAUACCGCCGAACCAAAGUAUGACAUGCUGGUAAGCAGUAUGACUUGUAUCGCCCACAACUCACUUGUGUUCUACUCAUGCAUAUAACAUCAACGCAUAAAACCUAGGCUCGGAUGCCAUUGUUGGGGAACGUAGUAAUUUCAAAAAAUUUCCUACGCACACGCAAGAUCAUGGUGAUGCAUAGCAACGAGAGGGGAGAGUGUGUCCAUGUACCCUCGUAGACUGAAAGAGGAAGCGUUAGCACAACGCGGUUGAUGUAGUCGUACCUCUUCAUGGCCCGAUCGAUCAAGCACCGAAAGCACGACACCUCUGAGUUCUUGCACACAUUCAGCUCGAUGAUGUCCCUCGAACUCCGAUCCAGCCUAGUGUCAAGGGAGAGUUCCGUCAGCACGACGGCGUGGUGAUGAUGAUGAUGUUCUAGCGUCGUAGGGCUUCGCCUAAGCACUGCUACGAUAUUAUCGAGGUGGACUAUGGUGGAGGGGGGCACCGCACACGGCUAAGAGAUCCAAGGGAUCAAUUGUUGUGUCUAGAGGUGCCCUCCUGCCCCCGUAUAUAAAGGAUCAAGGGGGAGGGGGCGGCCGGCCAGGAGGAGGCGCGCGAAGGGGGAGUCCUACUCCAACCGGGAGUAGGACUCCUCCUUCCCUUGUUGGAGUAGGAGAGAAGGAAAGAGGGGGAGAGGAGGAAGGAAAAGGGGGCUGCACCCCUUGUCCAAUUCGGACCAGAGGGGGGCUGCGCGCCUCCUUCCUUUCGGCCUCUCUCCUCUAUUCCCGUAUGGCCCAAUAAGGCCUAUAUACUCCCCGGCGAAUUCCCGUAACUCUCCGGUACUCCAAAAAAUAGCCGAAUCACUCGGAACCUUUCUGAAGUCCGAAUAUAGUCGUCCAAUAUAUCGAUCUUUACGUCUCGACCAUUUCGAGACUCCUCGUCAUGUAACCGAUGUCAUCUGGCACUCCGAACUCCUUCGGUACAUCAAAACACAUAAACUCAUAAUAUAACUGUCAUCUAACUUUAAGCGUGCGGACCCUACGGGUUCGAGAACAAUGUAGACAUCACCGAAACACGUUUCCGGUCAAUAACCAAUAGCGGAACCUGGAUGCUCAUAUUGGCUCCCACAUAUUCUACGAAGAUCUUUAUCGGUCAAACCGCAUAACAACAUACGUUGUUCCCUUUGUCACUGGGAUGUUACUUGCCCGAGAUUUGAUCAUCGGUAUCUCAAUACCUAGUUCAAUCUCGUUACCGGCAAGUCUCUUUACUUGUUCCGUAAUACAUCAUCCCACAAUUAACUAAUUAGUUGAAAUGCUUGCAAGGCUUAUAGUGAUGUGCAUUACCGAGUGGGCCUAGAGAUACCUCUCCGACAAUCGAAGUGACAAAUCCUAAUCUUGAAAUACGCCAACCCAACAAGUACCUUUGGAGACACCUGUAGAGCACCUUUAUAAUCACCCAGUUACGUUGUGACGUUUGGUAGCACACAAAGUGUUCCUCUGGUAAACGGGAGUUGCAUAAUCUCAUAGUCACAGGAAUAUGUAUUAGUCAUGAAAAAAGCAGUAGCAACAUACUAAACGAUCAAGUGCUAAGCUAACGGAAUGGGUCAAGUCAAUCACAUCGUUCUCCUAAUGAUGUGAUCCCGUUAAUCAAAUGACAACUCUUUGUCCAUUGCUAGGAAACAUAACCAUCUUUGAUAAACGAGCUAGUCAAGUAGAGGCAUACUAGUGACACUUAGUUUGUCUAUGUAUUCACACAUGUAUCAUGUUUCCGGUUAAUACAAUUCUAGUAUGAAUAAUAAACAUUCAUCAUGAUAUAAGAAAAUAAAUAAUAACUUUAUUAUUGCCUCUAGGGCACAUUUCCUUCACCCGGCCCCCCUUUCCUUCCUCCCUCCUUCCUCUUCCUUCCCUCUCCCUCUCCAAAUAGGAAAAGGAGGAGUCCUACUCCCGGUGGGAGUAGGACUCCCCCCUUGGGCGCUCCUCCUCCCCUUGGACGGCUCUCUCCUCUCCUCCUUUAUAUACAGAGGAGGGGGGAACCCCAUAGAGACAACAAUUGAUGCCUUGGAUCUCUUAUCCGUGUGCGGUGCCCCCCUCUACCAUAAUCCACCUCGAUAAUAUCGUAGAGGUGCUUAGGCGAAGCCCUGCGUCGGUAGAACAUCAUCAUCAUCACAACACCGUUGUGCUAACGGAACUCUCCCUCAAACCUCAGCUGGAUCAGAGUUCGAGGGACGUCAUAGAGUUGAACGUGUACUAAACUCGGAGGUGCCGUGCAUUCGGUACUUGAUCGGUCGGAUCAUGAAGAGGUACGACUACAUCAACCGCGUUGUGCUAACACUUCCGCUUUUGGUCUACGAGGGUACGUGGACAACACUCUCCCCUCUUGUUGGUAUGCAUCACCAUGAUCUUGUGUGUGCGUAGGAAUUUUUUUGAAAUUACUACGUUUCCCAACAGUGGCAUCCGAGCCAGGUUUUUAUGUGUAGAUGUUAUAUGCACGAGUAGAACACAAGUGAGUUGUGGGCGAUACAAGUCAUACUGCUUACCAGCAUGUCAUACUUUGGUUCAGCGGUAUUGUUGGAUGAAGUGGCCUGGACCGACAUUACGCGUACGCUUACGUGAGACUGGUUCUACCGACGUGCUUUGCACACAGGUGGCUGGCGGGUGUCAGUUUCUCCAACUUUAGUUCAACUAAGUGUGGCUACGGCCGGUCCUUGAGAAGGUUAAAACAACACUAACUUGACAAACUAUCAUUGUGGUUUUGAUGCGUAGGUAAGAAACAGUUCUUGCUCAGCCCGUGGCAGCCACGUAAAACUUGCAGCAACAAAGUAGAGGACGUCUAACUUGUUUUUGCAGGGCAUGUUGUGAUGUGAUAUGGUCAAGACGUGAUGCUAUAUUUUAUUGUAUGAGAUGAUCAUGUUUUGUAACCAAGUUAUCCGCAACUGGCAGGAGCCAUAUGGUUGUUGUUUUAUUGUAUGCAAUGCAAUCGCCCUGUAAUUGCUUUACUUUAUCACUAAGUGGUAGCGAUAGUCGUAGAAGCAAUAGUUGGUGAGACGACAAUGAUGCUACGAUGGAGAUCAAGGUGUCGCGCCGGUGACGAUGGUGAUCAUGACGGUGCUUCGGAGAUGGAGAUCACAAGCACAAGAUGAUGAUGGCCAUAUCAUAUCACUUAUAUUGAUUGCAUGUGAUGUUUAUCCUUUAUGCAUCUUAUCUUGUUUUGAUUGACGGUAGCAUUAUAAGAUGAUCUCUCACUAAAUUUCAAGAUAAAAGUGUUUUCCCUGAGUAUGCACCGUUGCCAAAGUUCGUCGUGCCCAGACACCACAUGAUGAUUUGGUGUGAUAAGCUCUACAUCCAUCUACAACGGGUGCAAGCCAGUUUUGCACACGCAGAAUACUCAGGUUAAACUUGACGAGCCUAGCAUAUACAGAUAUGGCCUCGGAACACUGAGACCGAAAGGUCGAGCGUGAAUCAUAUAGUAGAUAUGAUCAACAUAGUGAUGUUCACCAUUGAAAACUACUCCAUUUCACGUGAUGAUCGGUUAUUGUUUAGUUGAUUUGGAUCACAUGAUCACUUAGAUGAUUAGAGGGAUGUCUCUCUAAGUGGGACUUCUUAAGUAAUAUGAUUAACUGAACUUAAAUUUAUCAUGAACUUAGUACCUGAUAGUGUUUUUUGCAUGUCUAUGUUGUUGUAGAUAGAUGGCUCGUGCUGUUGUUACGUUUAAUUUUAAUGCGUUCCUUGAGAAAGCAAAGUUGAAAGAUGAUGGUAGCAAUUACACGGACUGGGUCCGUAACUUGAGGAUUAUCCUCAUUGUUGCACACAAGAAUUACAUCCUGGAAGCACCGCUGGGUGCCAGGCCUGCUGUAGAUGCAACUGCAGACGUUGUUAACGUUUGGCAGAGCAAAGCUGAUGACUACUCGAUAGUUCAGUGUGCCAUGCUUUACGGCUUAGAACCGGGACUUCAACAACGUUUUGAACGUCAUGGAGCAUAUGAGAUGUUCCAUGAGUUGAAGUUAAUAUUUCAAGCAAAUGCCCGGAUUGAGAGAUAUGAAGUCUCCAAUAAGUUCUACAGCUGCAAGAUGGAGGAGAAUAGUUCUGUCAGUGAGCAUAUACUCAGAAUGUCUGGGUAUAACAAUCACUUGAUUCAACUGGGAGUUAAUCUUCCGGAUGAUUGCGUCAUUGACAGAAUUCUUCAAUCACUGCCACCAAGCUACAAGAGCUUCGUGAUGAACUAUAACAUGCAAGGGAUGGAUAAGACAAUUCUCGAGCUCUUCGCAAUGCUAAAGGCUGCGAAGGUAGAAAUCAAAAAGGAGCAUCAAGUGUUGAUGGUCAAUAAGACCACUAGUUUCAAGAAAAAAGGCAAAGGGAAGAAGAAGGGGAACUUCAAAAAGAACAUCGAACAAGUUGCUGCUCAAGAGAAGAAACCCAAGUCUGGAUCUAAGCCUGAGACUGAGUGCUUCUGCUACAAGCAGACUGGUCACUGGAAGCCGAACUGCCCCAAGUAUUUGGUGGAUAAGAAGGAUGGCAAGGUGAACAAAGGUAUAUGUGAUAUACAUGUUAUUGAUGUGUACCUUACCAGAGCUCGUAGUAGCACCUGGGUAUUUGAUACUGGUUCUGUUCCUAAUAUUUUCAACUCAAAACAGGGACUACAGAUUAAGCGAACACUGGCUAAGGACGAGGUGACGAUGCGCGUGGGAAAUGGUUCCAAAGUCGAUGUGAUCGCCGUCGGCACGCUACCUAUACAUCUACCUUCGGGAUUAGUUUUAGACCUGAAUAAUUGUUAUUUGAUGCCAGCGUUGAGCAUGAACAUUAUAUCUGGAUCUUGUUUGAUGCGAGAUGGUUAUUCAUUUAAAUCUGAGAAUAAUGGUUGUUCUAUUUAUAUGAGUAAUAUCUUUUAUGGUCAUGAACUCGUAAACAGUGGUCUAUUUUUGAUGAAUCUCGAUAGUAGUGAUACACAUAUUCAUAAUGUUGAAGCCAAAAGAUGCAGAUUUAAUAAUGAUAGUGCAACUUAUUUGUGGCACUGCCGUUUGGGUCAUAUUGGUGUAAAGCGCAUGAAGAAACUCCAUACUGAUGGACUUCUGGAAUCACUUGAUUAUGAAUCACUUGGUACUUGCGAACCAUGCCUCAUGGGCAAGAUGACUAAAACGCCGUUCUCCGGAACUAUGGAGCGAGCAACUGAUUUAUUGGAAAUCAUACAUACUGAUGUAUGUGGUCCAAUGAAUGUUGAGGCUCGCGGCGGGUAUCGUUAUUUUCUCACCUUCACAGAUGAUUUAAGCAGAUAUGGGUAUAUCUACUUAAUGAAACAUAAGUCUGAAACAUUUGAAAAGUCCAAAGAAUUUCAGAGUGAAGUUGAAAAUCAUCGUAACAAGAAAAUAAAGUUUCUACAAUCUGAUCGUGGAGGAGAAUAUUUGAGUUACGAGUUUGGUCUACAUUUGAAAGAAUGCAGAAUAGUUUCGCAACUCACGCCACCCGGAACACCACAGCGUAAUGGUGUGUCCGAACGUUGUAAUCGUACUUUACUAGAUAUGGUGUGAUCAAUGAUGUCUCUUACUGAUUUACCGCUAUCGUUUUGGGGUUAUGCUUUAGAGAUGGCUACAUUCAUGUUAAAUAGGGCACCAUCAAAAUCCAUUGAGACGACGCCUUAUGAACUGUGGUUUGGCAAGAAACCAAAGUUGUUGUUUCUUAAAGUCUGGGGCUGCGAUGCUUAUGUGGAAAAACUUCAACCUGAUAAGCUUGAACCUAAAUCGGAGAAAUGUGUCUUCAUAGAAUACCCAAAGGAAACUGUUGGGUACACCUUCUAUCACAGAUUCGAAGGGAAGACUUUCGUUGCCAAGAAUGGAUCCUUUCUAGAGAAGGAGUUUCUCUCGAAAGAAGUGAGUUGGAGGAAAGUAGAACUUGAUGAGGUAAAUGUACCAACUCCCUUAUUGGAAAGUAGUUCAUCACAGAAACCAGUUCCUGUGACGCCUACACCAGUUAGUGAGGAUGCUAAUGAUAUUGAUCGUGAGACUUCAGAUCAAGUUACUACCGAACCUCGUAGGUCAACCAGAGUAAGAUCCGCACCAAAGUGGUAUGGUAAUCCUAUUCUGGAAGUUAUGUUACUUGGCCAUGAUGAACCUACGAACUAUGAGGAAGCGAUGAUGAGCCCAGAUUCCGCAAAAUGGCUUGAGGCCAUGAAAUCUGAGAUGGGAUCCAUGUAUGAGAACAAAGUAUGGACUUUGGUUGACUUGCCCGAUGAUCAGCAAGCCAUCGAGAAUAAAUGGAUCUUCAAGAAGAAGACUGAUGCUGAUGGUAAUGUUACUGUCUACAAAGCUCAACAUGUUGCAAAAGGUUUUCGACAAGUUCAAGGGGUUGACCACGAUGAGACUUUCUCACCCGUAGCGAUGCUUAAGUCUGUCCAAAUCAUGUUACCAAUUGCUGCAUUUUAUGAUUAUGAAAUUUGGCAAAUGGAUGUCAAAACUGCAUUCCCGAAUGGAUUUCUGGAAGAAGAGUUGUAUAUGCUACAACCGGAAGGUUUUGUCGAUCCAAAAGGUGCUAACAAAGUGUGCAAGCUCCAGCGAUCCAUUUAUGGACUGGUGCAAGCCUCUCGGAGUUGGAUUAAACGCUUUGAUAAUGUGAUCAAAGCAUAUGGUUUUAUACAGACUUUUGGAGAAGCCUGUGUUUACAAGAAAGUGAGUGGGAGCUCUAUAGCAUUUCUAAUAUUAUAUGUGGACGACAUAUUAUUGAUUGGAAAUGAUAUAGAAUUUCUGGAUAGCAUAAAAGGAUACUUGAAUAAAAGUUUUUCAAUGGAAUACCUCGGUGAAGCUGCCUAUAUAUUGGGCAUCAAGAUCUAUAGAGAUAGAUCAAGACGCUUAAUUGGACUUUGACAAAGUACAUACCUUGAUAAAGUUUUGAAAAGGUUCAAAAUGGAUCAAGCAAAGAAAGGGUUCUUGCCUGUAAUACAAGGUGUGAAAUUGAGUCAGACUCAAUGCCCGACCACUGCAGAAGAUAGAGAGAAAAUGAAAGAUGUUCCCUAUGCUUCAGCCAUAGGCUCUAUCAUGUAUGCAAUGCUAUGUACCAGACCUGAUGUGUGCCUUGCUAUUAGUUUAGCAGGGAGGUACCAAAGUAAUCCAGGAGUGGAUCACUGGACAGCGGUCAAGAACAUCCUGAAAUACCCGAAAAGGACUAAGGAUAUGUUUCUCAUUUAUGGAGGUGACAAAGAGCUAGUCGUAAAUGGUUACGUUGAUGCAAGCUUUGACACUGAUCCGGACGAUUUUAAAUAGCAAACCAGAUACGUGUUUAUAUUGAACGGUGGAGCUGUCAGUUGGUGCAGUUCUAAACAAAGCGUUGUGGCGGCAUCUACAUGUGAAGCGGAGUACAUAGCUGCUUCGGAAGCAGCAAAUGAAGGAGUCUGGAUGAAGGAGUUCAUAUCCGAUCUAGGUGUCAUACCUAGUGCAUCGGGUCCAAUGAAAAUCUUUUGUGACAAUACUGGUGCAAUUGCCUUGGCAAAGGAAUCCAGAUUUCACAAGAGAACCAAGCACAUCUAGAGACGCUUCAAUUCCAUCCAGGACCAAGUCGAGCUGGGAGACAUAGAGAUUUGCAAGAUACAUAUGGAUCUGAAUGUUGCAGACCCAUUGACUAAGCUUCUUCCACGAGCAAAACAUGAUCAACACCAAGGCUCCAUGGGUGUUAGAAUCAUUACUGUGUAAUCUAGAUUAUUGACUCUAGUGCAAGUGGGAGACUGAAGGAAAUAUGCCCUAGAGGCAAUAAUAAAGUAAUUAUUUAUUUCCUCAUAUCAUGAUAAAUGUUUAUUAUUCAUGCUAGAAUUGUAUUAACCGGAAACAUAGUACAUGUGUGAAUACAUAGACAAACAGAGUAUCACUAGUAUGCCUCUACUUGACUAGCUCGUUGAAUCAAAGAUGGUUAAGUUUCCUAACCAUAGACAUGAGUUGUUAUUUGAUUAACGAGAUCACAUCAUUAGGAGAAUGAUGUGAUUGACUUGACCCAUUCUGUUAGCUUAGCACUUGAUCGUUUAGUAUGUUGCUAUUGCUUUCUUCAUGACUUAUACAUGUUCCUAUGACUAUGAGAUUAUGUAAAUCCCGCUUAUCAGAGGAACACUUUGUGUGCUGCCAAACAUCACAACGUAACUGGGUGAUUAUAAAGGUGCUCUACAGGUGUCUCCGAAGGUACUUGUUGAGUUGAAGUAUUUUCAGAUUAGGAUUUGUCACUCCGAUUGUCGGAGAGGUAUCUCAGGGCCCUCUCGGUAAUGCACAUCACUAUAAGCCUUGCAAGCAAUGUAGCUAAUGAGUUAGUUACGGGAUGAUGCAUUACGUUACGAGUAAAUAGACUUGACGGUAACGAGAUUGAACUAGGUAUUGAGAUACUGACGAUCGAAUCUCGGGCAAGUAACAUACCGAUGACAAAGGGAACAACGUAUGUUGUUAUGCGGUUUGACCGAUAAAGAUCUUCAUAGAAUAUGUGGGAGCCAAUAUGAGCAUCCAUGUUCCGCUAUUGGUUAUUGACCGGAGACAUGUCUCGGUCAUGUCUACAUAGUUCUUGAACCCGUAGGGUCCGCACGCUUAAAGUUCGAUGACGGUUAUAUUAUGAGUUUAUGUAUUUUGAUGUAUUGAAGGUAGUUCAGUGUCCAGGAUGUGAUCACAGACAUGACAAGGAGUCUCGAAAUGGUCGAGACAUAAAGAUCGAUAUAUUGGACGACUAUAUUUAGACACCGGAAUGGUUCCGGGUGAGAUCGGGAUAAUACCGGAGCUCCGGGAGGUUAUCGGAACCCCCGGGAGGUAUAUGGGCCUUAAUGGGCUUUAGUGGAAAGGAGGGGAAAGGAGCAAGGGAGGGGGCGCUCCCCCCAAGCCCAAUCCGAAUUGGGAGGGGGGCCAUGAGGGAGUCCUGGAUUAGGGGGUAUCCGGACAGCCGGACUAUACACUUUGGCCGGACUGUUGGACUAUGAAGAUACAAGAGUGAAGACUUCGUCCCGUGUCCGGAUGGGACUCUCCUUUGCGUGGAAGGCAAGUUUGGAGAUUCGAAUGUUAGAUCUCCUUCUCUGUAACCGACUCUAUGUAACCCUAGCCCCCUCCGGUGUCUAUAUAAACUGGAGGCUUUAGUCCGUAGGACGAGAACAAUCAGAAUCAUAAUCAUAGGCUAGCUUCUAGGGUUAGCCUCUAUGAUCUCGUGGUAGAUCAACUCUUGUAAUACUCAUAUCAUCAAGAUCAAUCAAGCAGGAAGUAGGGUAUUACCUCCAUCGAGAGGGCCCGAACCUGGGUAAAUAUCGUGUCCCCGGUCUCCUGUUACCAUUAGCCUUAGACGCACAGUUUGGGACCCCCUACCCGAGAUCCACCGGUUUUGACAUCGACAUUGGUGCUUUCAUUGAGAGUUUCUCUGUGUCGUCGCUGUAAGGCUCGAUGGCUCCUUCAAUCAUUAACAAUGACGCGUUCCAGAGUGAGACCUUUCUCCCCGGACAGAUCUUCGUGUUCGGCGGCUUCGCACUACGGGCCAAUUCGCUUGGCCAUUAGGAGCAGAUCGACAACUACGCCCCUGGCCAUCAGGGCAGAUUCAGAAACUUGAAUUACACAAAUGACAUCCGCGGAGACUUGAUCUUCGACGGAUUCGGGCCUACGCCGGGAGCGCCGAACGCUCAGGAUGAGCGCGACUUAGAUCGGCUGUCGGACAGUAUUCGGGAUACCGCACCUAGAGCAGCUCCGGACCUAAAUCCGGGGCGUAUCGCGUCGUCCGAGGACGGGUGGAUGGACCCCAGCACGGAGGCCGCAUACUCAUCGGCGUUGGAGCCGAACACGGACUCUACCUCUAAGGAAAUAUGUGUCGCCGGACUCCCGGACUUGUUUCCGGCCGCGGGUCCCGGGCCACGCGCAUCCGUGCCCAUCGAAGCCGAUUGGGCACCAAUCAUGGAGUUCACUGCCGCGGAUAUCUUUCAGCGCUCGCCCUUUGGCGACGUGCUAAAUGCUUUAAGGUCUCUCUCUUUGUCAGAAGACUCUUGGCCGAACUAUGUCUGGCUUGAGUGGGACACGGACGAUGAAGAAAAUCGCAGCCCACCCACCACCCACUUCAUAGCCGCUAUCGAUGACCUAACAGACAUGCUUGACUUCGAGUCCGACGACGUCGAUAGUAUGGACGUCGAUGCAGGGGACGAUCUGGAACCACCAUCCACGGGCGCUGGACAGCCACCUCAUCAUAUGACAUAUACAUGGUGGACACGCCUAAGGAGGACAACAGUGACAAAAAGGACACAAUGGAGGAUAAACCCCCCGGACAAAAGCCAAAACGACGGUGCAGGCGCCGCUCCAAGUCCAGUCACAGUAAAAAUAGCGAUAACAGCGCAAGAAAUAUUGACACUCCGGUCUACUCCAAAGGCAACAAUGACCAUAUGGACCCAGCAAUGGAGCAGGAUGAGCCAGGCCAUGCUGAACACAGCCCAGAGCAGACGCCCGAUCACAUCAAUCUCGAGGGCCGAACUCAUCAACCCGCACCCGAAGAGGGGGACAGUCCGGUCGAUGAUGCAUUCAUCAUCCCAGAAAAGCAUUUGGAACAAGACAACCUCCGCAGAAGGCUUAUGGACACUGCGAGGAGCCUAAAGAAGCAGAAGAAAAGGCUUAAGGCCGCGCAGGAUACGCUCAACCGCAGAUGGAAUAAAGCGCUAGACACUGAAGAAAAAUAUGGCAACAAUCGCCACACAAAGCGCUACCCAAAAUGCAAGCUGCUGCCCGAAUCCGACGAUGAGGCCGUAGAGCCCAUUCCGUCAAAGAAUAAUACGGCCAAUCGGCUGGACCAACCACUUCAUGGCCGCGAUAGAGAAGCCACCAACGCUGCACACGAUUUACGUGAGCUCCUGGACAAAAAGGCCGGCGCGAUCAGGUCCAUCUAUGGAUCCAGAGGACAUGCUCCGACGCGGGAUUACGGUCACCAAAACGAUCACAUUGAUCGAAUACCAGUUCGGAAUCAACACCAGACACAACAACAGUCGACAACAUGCCACGACAUGUCCAGAUACGGAGGGGCUGUGCACCUUCUGUGCUUCACCGACGAGGUGCUGGAUCACGAAUUUCCAUAGGGAUUCAAACCCGUGAACAUAGAGGCAUACGACGGAAUGACAGACCCUGGGGUCUGGAUUGAGGAUUUUAUCCUUCAUAUCCACAUGGCUCGUGGGGAUGACCUCCACGCCAUCAAAUACCUUCCCCUCAAGUUGAAAGGGCCAGUUCGGCACUGGUUGAAAAGCCUCCCCAAAAAUUCAAUCGGAAGUUGGGAGGAACUUGAGGACGCUUUCACGGCCAAUUUUCAAGGGACCUAUGUCCGACCUCCGGACGCAGACGAUCUAAGUGACAUAAUACAACAGCCCGGAGAGUCAGACCGUAAGCUUUGGAACAGAUUUCUCACUAAGAAGAAUCAAAUUGUUGACUGUCUAGAUGCCGAAGCCCUAGCGGCCUUCAAGCAUAGUAUCCGGGACGAGUGGCUUGCCAGACACCUCGGCCAAGAAAAGCCAAGGAUAAUGGCGGCCUUAACAAGCCUUAUGACCCGCUUUUGCGCGGGAGAGGACAGCUGGUUGGCCCGUAGAGGCACCAGUGACCCAGGCACAUCCGAAAUCAGGGAUGGCAACAGGAAGCCACGAUGCAAUAAGAACAAGCGUCGAAACAAUGAAGAAAGUCCGGACAACACGACGGUCAACGCUAGAUUCAGGGGCUCUCGACCCGGUCAAGGAAAGAAGCCAUUUAAAGGCAGCAAAGAGGGACCGUCCGGCCUGAACAAAGUCCUGGACAGAUUGUGCCAAAUUCAUGGCACCCCCGAAAAACCUGCGAAUCACACUCACAGAGAAUGCUGGGUCUUCAAGCAGGCCGGCAAGUUAAACACCGAACACAAGGGAAGAGAAAUACCAAGUGAAGACGAGGAUGAGCCUCGCCAGCCGAACACUGGGGGACAGAAAAAUUCCCACCAGAAGUCAAAACAGUAAACAUGAUCUACGCGACUCACAUAUCAAAGAGAAGGCGCAAACACGCGCUCAGAGACGCAUAAACUGUAGAGCCCAUUGCCCUCAAAUUCAACCCCUGGUCGGCCUGCCCGAUCACCUUUGAUCAUAGGGACCACCCGACUAGUAUCCGGCAUGGAGGAUCGGCUGCCUUGGUGGUCGACCCAAUAAUUGAUGGAUACCAUCUCACUCGAGUCCUCAAGGACGGCGUCAGUAGUCUUAAUCUGAUAUAUCAGGACACCGUUUGCGAGAUGGGGAUAGACCCAUCCAGAAUUAGCCAAAGUAACACCACCUUUAAAGGAGUGAUACCAAGCGUUGAGGCCCGUUGCAGGGGAUCCCUCGUAUUAGAGGUGAUAUUCGGUUCUCCCGACAACUUCAGAAGCGAAGAAUUACUCUUCAAGAUUGCUUAUUUCCGAAGCGGUUAUCAUGCAUUACUCGGAAGAACGGCCUUCGCUCGCUUCAAUGCAGUACCACACUACGCCUACCAUAAACUCAAGAUGCCCGGUCCACGUGGCGUAAUCACUGUUAGCGGAAUCACAGAGCGUUCCUUGCUGGCGGAAGAGUAUGCGGCGGCUCUAGCAGCCGGACGCUAAGCGGCCUCUCCCAUCAGAAUGCAUGAUCGGUCUUUAAGACCACGGACACGGUUAGACGAGUCCGGUGCACCACCGUAGGUAACAUCCCAGAUAAACCUGAGCUGGGUGCUAUACAUGUUGGAAAUAUGCCCUAGAGGCAAUAAUAAAAGGAUUAUUAUUACAUUUCCUUGUUCAUGAUAAUUGUCUUUUAUUCACGCUAUAAUUGUAUUAUCCGAAAAUCAUAAUACACGUGUGAAUACAUAGACCAUAACAUGUCCCUAGUGAGCUUCUAGUUGACUAGCUCGUUGAUCAACAGAUAGUCAUGGUUUCCUGACUAUGGACAUUGGAUGUCAUUGAUAACGGGAUGUCAUUGUAUUAUUUUGUAAUUGACCAUGGCAAGUUCCAAGUUUAAUUUCAACCAUGGAAAAUGUACUACUUUGCUAUUGAAAUUUUAGUUUAUUGACCUUGGCAAAUUAGGUAUCGACCACAGAAAAUUCCAAUAUUUUUCCGACCAUGGCAACUUUUGCUAAUUGACCAUGGAAAAUUUCAAUGUUAUUUUGACCAUGGCAAAUUUCAAAAAAAUUGAACCCUGACAAGUGCCACAUGUCAGGUGCGAGCACAUGGCAACUCCGAACGUUUUCGACGGCAAGUAUAGUUACGCGAGGAUGGCAACUUUAGUGGGCAAGCAUGGCAACUUCUUGCUUCAGUUUAUUUUAUGACAAAACUUGCCCCGUGUCACCGGAUUUUGCCAUCCUCGCAUAACUAGACUUCCCAUCGAAAAACGUCAGGACCGGAUUGUGUGGCACUGAUCAUUUAGGUUUUUAUUACCAUGAAAAAUUUAGUAAUUGACCAUGGUAAUUUUUUAGUAAUUAACCAUGGCAUUUUUUCGGUGGAUCAUGGAAAUUUUAGUGACUAUGUCAAAUUUAGUUUUAUGGACCAUGGAAAAUUUAGUUCAUAGACCAUGCAGAUUUUAGUUUUGUGUAUCAUGGCAAAGUUUUAGGUUAUUGCUCAUGGACAAAAUUAUUCUCCUCAUGAUAAUACCCACUUGAAACCAUGGAAAUUUAGUUGAUGUUUUUUUAGCAUCAUGGAAAUUGGUUGCAUGUAUCAUGACGACUUUUACAUAAUUUUUGCCAUCAUGAAAAAGUACACCACUUUUGUCAACCAUGGCAAACUAAUACUUUUUUUUGCCAUUAAUGCGUUAUUUUAAGACCGUACAAAAUUUCUUUCUUUCACCAUGGAAAAAUUAUUAUUCAUUUGACCAUAUCAAAUUUAGUUUAUGGCCAUGUCAAAUUUACUUUUUUCAUACAUCAUGUCCUUUUUUAGUGUUUGGAUAGUGGCAAAUUUUUGCGACCACGGCAUUUUAUUUUUGGUCCUCUUCCAAAAUUUAAUUCAAAUAAUGGCAAUUUUAACUUUCUUUGUUGAACUGUGGUGAUUUUUAUCCAUUUUUAAUGAAUCUUUUCAUAUGAAUCAAUUUGACAUAACGGCAGUUUUGUUACUUCAUCUUAUGGCAAUUUUUGAUUUAUUUCUUUUUCAUAUUCAAAUUCAUGUUCAAUUACCACUAUUAGGCUUGCUACAUGUACCUUUUUUUGGCCCAAGUUUUAGCCAUGUUUGCUUUCUCAGUAGGCUUGGACCAUGACGUGAAGGCGUUUGGGCUGGGGUUAUUCCCCACCGAACGGUAGAAUCGUUCGUUCGGUCCCCCUCCUGCACCGCACGAAUCUUUCGGUCCGCGGGCUACCAGGCCACACGUGUGGUGAAUAUCGAUUCGUCCACACAGAGUCAUGUCGGCUGUCUCCUAGGUACGACCACAUGAUUCCUGUGGUCGGGUAUCCAUUGUGCCUGACGUGUGGCAGUUAUCGGCGUCAAAAAAAAGGCUGGGCGCCACUGCUAGAAUUUAGACUGAUGGGUCUGGCUGCUGCGCUGCACGGUGUCAAGAGAUAGACCUGAGCCGCUAAGUGUAUUAAGUCGGAUGAUCAGUAUUCACAGUUUUUUAACUCACAGAGAUGGGUUUGGGGUCCCAAAUAAAAACAAAUAACUUUAGAAAAAUUCCAGAAAAUUCACAUAAAUACCUAGGCUCAUAAAGAGCUUUGCAAACAUUUAUUCUGGCCUAAUAUAAUUUAUUAAAACAUUUUUUUGCAAUAAAGUCAAUUUGACUCUUACAAAUAGUUCCCGAGUAAACUUUAAUAACACCAAGUAAUAUUGUAAUAAUUUUCCAACUCUUUUUUAUAUUGAAGGUAUCAUAUUACCUUCUCUCAUUUUAUUAUCCAGGAAAAUCAUUUUAUUCCCUCUAUGUUUAAAAUUCUCAAAAAUUUCAAAUUCCACUCAAAUUCAAACAACAACAAAAAAGCAAUCAUCAAUUUAUUUCUAUUUAUAUAACUUUCCAAAUUGUAGAAUUUUGGGAUGUUACAUGCCAUGUCAUUCAGGUUGUUAGUGGGCAUUACACUUUUGUCCGCUUCAUAUCUUUUGACCUUUGUUUUUACCUUGUUCACUAAUUAUACCUUGUGCCCUCGUGUUCUUCCUAUAAAAUGGUGCAUAUAUGUAAGGAUCCGCAAAUUAUGCGCCCAUUUCUCACAUAUAUUCUUGAUAGUGUGAACGAGUUGUUUGCAGUCCCGUAUGCAAACUACAUUAUGCAGGUAAAUUCUAGAUUGUUUGUAAUUGGUGAAAUAAAAUCUGAGCAAAACAUACACUUUACCUACGUUUUAUGGAUAAGUUGCAUCACAUGAUUGAGCAUGGAGGGCCUCACCACCAAGAAAUUAUUGUUCUGAAAUUAGCUGGCUAGUAGUACACAUGAUCCACGAAAAGCACUGUUCCAAAGAAGAGCAAAGACAUUCAGAAGUGCUUAAUCUACGUGAGCCAACAUGAUUGCACGCGGUCAUAACUAAGAUCCUCCAGGUGGGAGGUGGUCAGACUAUUGAUCAUCUCCUGGUCUAUGCUUCUUAAAAAUCUUAACUCUGCAUGCCUAGAGAGAUGCACAUGACUAAUCUUGUGUGGUUGCAUGAUCUUGCAGGGUAUGAUGAUCUAAUAGUAUGCCAACUAUGUUGUGCAGAAGAUGAUUGAAGUGGUUCAUGGGUUACACUUGAACAUGAUAGUGGAUGUGGUGAGGCGCAACAUGGUCACAUUGGUAAAAUACACCACACGAGGCACAUCAUAAUGCAAGUCAUCAUGCUCGUCUAAGCUAUAGCAGGGUACUCUAGAUCCCUUGCACUAGCUUCACCCCAUUUAUCUAGUUUUCUGUAGAAUAGUUCACUUUGUAUGGGUCUCUUCUUCUUCCUUACUUAGUGAUUGAUAGUAAUUGAAGUUUAGUUAAAAUAAGUACUUCUAUUUUCCAUUAGUUGAACUCUAUUGUUUCUAUAAGAGAAUAACCAAAAUGCACACAACCUCCUCUGCUAUAAAGACUUGCCAGGCUCUUAGGUUAUUCAUUGUCACAACUAUAGUAUGGGCCACUACUGAUGGAAAAAAUCCCCCUCUAUUGACGGGAGAGCCGCCGAUCUCUAUGCAUAUGUCACAGGAGAUGUUCCCUCCACCGAGGGGCGGCCCACCCUAUAGUAGCGGCCCAUCCCACUUAUGAUCCCAAGUUUACCGACCAUAAGUGAGGAUCACGUCCACAGCCAAGCAUCGUCGUAAGUGCCUAUUGGUGGUGACCACAAAACAUUUUCUACAGAUGGGGCUGCAGUUGCUUGUAGUGCCUGAAAAUCUCACAGUGCAUCCUAAUCCCCUAGGUGGACUUUGGUAAUUAAUGUUAACAUAUCACAAAAGGCACUAAAAAUUAUCAUGCGUAUUUAGAUUAUGUUCCAAAAUAUGCAACAAGGGAAUGAAUGACACCCCGUCCUCGAUUCUUCAAUGACAAGUGUUGGCCAAGCUAUGGACUUAGAUUUUUAUUUUAGUGAUUCAAGAUCGCAUUGAAUCCAUAGUUAUACAAAUACUAUCAAAAAGGGAUCUAGGUUGCUAAGUUGAGUUUCUUUUUACACAUGCUUAAAAAUCAAAUUCCAAAGCCGUGAAAAGGCCCUCCUUUUUGCCCACUAUCCCUUUGCAUUUACACCAUCUGAAACCUACGAAUCUUUUCCCUAUAAUCCUCUAAAUCACAUCUAGAAAUAGUUGUUGCAAAAGCUUUGUAAAUCAAAGCUCCAGUGCACUUGCUCUAUAGAACCUUCAGAACACUUUGUGCAUUCUUCUUGAACUGCUCAGAUAUUCCGGACAUUUUGGUCGGAAUUUUUGAACAAUCUUAGUUAUUGGCCUUGCAAUAAAGUGUGUAAUGGCUAGGUUUUUGGUCCAUUCUAUAUUAAGUCCCACCUAUCCAUCACUUCACUUGAAGCAACAAACAAUCAAAUCAUAUUUUCUGAGAGAAAACUCCAAACCAUGUAGAUUUGCAUAGGCAUUUGGUUAUAACCAAGUGUGACCAAACAACAUUAAUAAUACUCCAUUUGGAUGGGAAUAGAGGUCAGAGCAAGAAUUUAGGUCGUCGAUUUAACUAGUGAAACAUGGGAAAACUUUGUUUUUGCCACUCUAGCUUUUGCCCACUUUUCUUAUGCCACUCUAGAAUUUGACAUUUCACUUUUGCCACUCUUAACUUUUGAUAAUACAUCACAAUUGUCAUUCCAUGGCAAAUGCAAAAAAAUUAGAGUGGCAAUUGUGAUACAUUGUUGAAAGCUAAUAGCGACAAAAGUGAAAUGAAAAAUCAUUGCUUCUGCCAUGGAAUGACACUUAUUAUGUAUUGUCAAAAGCUAAGAGUGGAAAAAAUGAGAUGUCAAAUUUUAGAGUGGCGUAAGCAAAGUGGGCAAAAGAUAGAGUGGCAAAAACAAAAAUUUCCCAAACAUGUACAAUAUGCCACAAAAAGUAUACGUCUAGAAAAUUCGUUUUAUAACUUCUAUUACACACAACACAUGUUUCUCUAGUCAAAUUGGGGACCUAAAAAUUCAUGUCUGGCUUAUAUUCCCAUCUGGAGGGAGUAUUCACUUUAGAGUUCUUCCAUUCAUAGAAGCCUUGCAGCUUCCAAGGACGUGUGUAGCCUGACUUGGCAAUCUUUGGCUCCGAAAAAAACACUACUACUUGCCCAGGACCGUAGCGGGGGUAAAUAAAGAAACAACACACCUGGGGAGUCACGUCUCACUAGUCACUACAUGACAUUUGUUUACUGAAACAGGAAAUAUAGUGCUGACCAAUGCUCAAGCAAGGGGCCUGUGGGGUAUACACUUUACAGUAUGGAGCUAUUUUCUCAUGACGAACAUAAACAUUUGGUUUUUGCAUCUAUCUCUCGAAAUAGUCUUUCACCCCGCUUUAUAUUAAUAUAAUCACACGACAAACAAUGAGAAUGCUAGACCUAUGAAAGCUUACGUGAGGAUUUUACGUAAAAAAUGAUGUGGAGGUAAUUAUUGGGUCAGGAUUAGUGGUUGGGGGCGACCCUGGUUGAAUGCAGGUGUGUGUGCGUGGGGGGGGGGAUUUAUGGAAGGGUAAUUAAACUUACAUAGGACCUUUUUGUAGGUGUANNNNNNNNNNAUAGUCUUUCACCCCGCUUUAUAUUAAUAUAAUCACACGACAAACAAUGAGAAUGCUAGACCUAUGAAAGCUUACGUGAGGAUUUUACGUAAAAAAUGAUGUGGAGGUAAUUAUUGGGUCAGGAUUAGUGGUUGGGGGCGACCCUGGUUGAAUGCAGGUGUGUGUGCGUGGGGGGGGGGGAUUUAUGGAAGGGUAAUUAAACUUACAUAGGACCUUUUUGUAGGUGUAGGAUUAUCAACAAACAAUACAUGAUAUUAAAAAAAAUCCUCAAGAGUUUAUCAAAACAGAAUAUACAACAAACUAGCCGAAAACGCUAAAAAGGCACUAUAUGCACCACUAUAUGCCUCCUACGAGUCGUCGACAAGAAACACAUGAGAUCCGUAGUCGCGCCCAAGUUGCACCGACACUUAUUGCGACAUCCCUAAGAGGGUCACAACGUGAAGUGGUGCCACCCUCUAUCUUGUCGUGGAAACAAGCUACAAGCCCGUCCCUGACAAGGAUUCCAGAUCAGGGCUAGGUCGCCAUUGACGGCACCAGCUUUGCCAGGAUCUCCCACCACAACGCACCUUGCCAACACCAGCUACCACGCUGCUCAUCGAAGGGCCCAUCUCUGUAGCACACAAUCCAGGACCGCUGCCUUGGCAUCCAAGAUCGCCACCCCACUGCCAUCGCAACACAAGACUGCCACCAAGGAAGCACUUUUGUGUGAACAUCAUUGGCUUGGAGCUAGACCGCCACCAGCCACACGAAGAGGGAACCUCUGGCAAUGUGGCCCGAUCUGACCUGGAUCUAGCCCCAAAACAAACGGUGUGGCCGAGGACAGGGCUUGCCGGUGACACCUAGUAGCACGCAUACAGGACACGACCUGUGCGCCACCACUGAAGCCACCACGGCAACACACCACACAACCAGGGCAACAACCACUAUGGAGCCAAAUUCGGCAGCUCCAGAUCCGGUUGAGGCCGCACCCUCAAAUCCCGUUACACCCCUAUCCUAGGAACCCUGCCGAAGAAACUUCAUUGACGACUCAGCCACCGCCUGCCGGUCGCCAUGGUCCUUCGCGUCGCCCCUCUAGGCUUGUUCCGGCGUUGUGUGCCCUUCGAGGAAUACCGCCACGUGCCCAGGCCAAAGAGGAGAACGAUCUGGACUGCUCGGGACCAACAGAGCCACAACCACGUCCGGUCGAAAUCACCACCCUGAGCACGCCUAGUCCUGCCACCACGAGCCUGCCCCGCGGCAUGCCGCCGGUCGUCGAGCCUACCGACGCUGGCCCAAUUGCCUGCACCUCGGGACACCACUGACUGCCACCAAGCUACGUCGCCCGUAUAACUAGGAGCCCCGCAAGAGAGCACCCCGCCGCGGACAACGGCCGCUCGGGCUUCGCCCGGUGGCACCCUCCGACUACAACGCGGGGAGGAAGGAGUUUGGGACAGGUCUAUGGCUGGUAGGUGGAGCCCUCACGUCGCCCAGGUCAGGAAAGACCAUGUUUUUUUCGUCCGUCAUUUUUCUUCUUGUUUUUACCUCUAUCUCACUUCCACUUGUCUAACUUUCUAAUGGAACAUCCCGUGGUCUCAUACCUUAGCUACAUGGCUGCAAUGAACAUGUAUUCAUCACGUACACGUCAUUUCUUUCUCUGUGUCGUGAACCUAGAGAGGCGAGUGUCCUCGCAAAGCCCACUAUUCUGAUAAGGCGAGUUUAGGUUAUUGUGUGAUGUUCCUUUUGUUGGUCAUAUUUUAUAUGCAGUUUGAAUCUUUCUUCGACAUUAUGGUGAAGAUUGAGAUCAUCCAUACUCAAGUACAUUCAUUGUACAAGGCUUCCCGUAUAUUUGGUGGAUGACUGAUGGGGCUUUCAAAAACCAUUAUUAAUAAUCAAGCUGGGAGGGGGGGAGGGGGCAUUUCAUCUUGCAAAGAUUGAUACCACGAAGAAACUAUUUUCAAAAGAUUUUAUUGUAAUUCUUAAUCCAUACCACCACUAAAAGAUCCAAAGGGGCAGAUCAAACUAAUAUCGGUCAUCAAACCAUAUGCAUUCAACGACCUAAAUUGCUUCGGUGUUGAGCGCUUAAUAUGUUUAGCUGCAAUCAAUGCGAUCCCAAAUAUUAACCUAUAAUUAAUAUCUUACCUAAUAUCAGCAUAUAUCUAAUACUAGCACUUUUUUUUAAAUCUCAAUUAAUACCCUACAGAUAUGGACCUGAUGUACGCAUUUACUAGUUAUAUAUAGUAUUAGUUACUUUGUAAUUUUUUGGAUCUUUGAUUCAAAGCAAUGUACAGUAAUAGUGGUGAGUAUGCAUAAAGUCUCGAGCGUCUCCCAAAAAUAUAUUUUCUUGUGUCCUUUUCUGCAGCGGACGGCUGGAAAGCAGCGCAAUAGUAACGUACGCCUAAUCCCUGGCCUCGCAUACACGUGGCAACUCUCCAGUUGAAACUGAUAUGCACCUCUCCCUCCCUUCCCCGGUUUAUAUCUCUCUCGCUCCCAAAAUCACAUUCUCAAAAAAGUCAUUCAGUACACUCCUCCGGGCUCUACUCGUGUUCCUUUAAACCCGAGAACAUCCUCUUCUGGUUCCAACAUGGACUAAUUGCAUAUUGGUGUUGCUUUGAACCACGGAAGAUCCUCUACUACUUGUAUACUCCACCGGACUGUCCUUCAAUUUCUCGCAAGGCAAGUUGUAUAUACUCCAUAUCUUGUGCUUCUUAACUACUCUAGAUCUAAUCCAUGUCUCCUCUCCUUGAUGUUUCUUGUGCUAGAUCUGACUUUUUUCAGUCGCUAUAUAGUUUUCUCUGGCCCAUGUUUAGUAAGUGGGCAUGUUGAAUUCAUGCUUGUGUUCCUUUGAAUCAGAAUAGUUAGGCUAAGUAUGCAAUACAAGAGUUUAGAUCAGAUCUUGUGCGUAGUUAAUUUUCUGUUCACUGAGUACCAAUCCCUUGUAUUAUCUUGUGCAUAUUUUAUCUAAAUCUAUCAUGUUUUGUUGGACUUGUUACUUGUAGCUAAUUAGAUCUGAAUUUCGUACUGGUAUAUGUUCACUUAUUUUGGGUGCAAACAUGUUUCUUGCUCUUGUUUGUUUGAAUGGACUAAACUUGUGGAUGUAGCUUUCCUGUGAGAAAAAGAACCAUGUUUUUACACGCUGACAAUGUAAAUUUUUACAGAGAUGGAUAACAAAGGCAAAUCCAAGGCCAUUGACGAUUACGUGCGAACGGCAUCCCAGUUCCAUCGUAGCAGCGGGAUAGACAGCGGCAAAGAGAUAUGGGAGGACGAUGCUGCCACCAUUGCUCUUGGUGGCCGUCAACGUGACAGGAGCCUUUUCCUCAGCUUCUUAGAUGAACAGGUAAUUAGUUAAUUAAUUAUGCCAGCCCCGCAUAUCAUUGUGUACAUCUACAGUGUGCAUAUCAUGCAUCCUAUUUAAAACUGAUAAUUAAUUUACUGCUAUGAAUGCAUAUUGAUAGGUAAAGGAGUAUACAGAAUAAUACAUUUACACCCGUAUAUUAAUUCUUUACAUGAAUAUCAUAAACUAUAUCAUAUAUAUUUAGUAUGUGUUUGGAUAUAGCCCCUCGGAUGGAGUGUAUAUUAUUGUUAUGUCUAAAAGAUAUCUCAUUUAAUGGGGUCUAAUGAGAGAGAAUAUACGAGUAUUUUGGUUUUGGUGUGAAGAUCAUAUCUAGAUUGAGAUAUGGUGACUCUCUGUUUCCCAUUAAGAGGUUGCACCGUAGACAUUUAGCGCGCGUGCGACAUUUAGUCGUCCUCCCCCUCGCUGGGGUUGUGUGUGAAAUAAGUUGUCAAAUCAUACUUCCUUGGAGACCAACCCCAGAGGACCCCUCCCCUCUUGGCUGCACAAUCUCCAUCCCACGAUUUGCAAUUUUUGGCCAAGAAAUCCAAAAACUGCCCUCUAAUGGAAAGAACUACCAUGACAGUUUCUAAAACUGCCAGACCCACACCCCUCAAAUACAGUGAAAACUGCCAACGGACCCCUUCUGUUUGCCAAGUGAACAUUCGCCAGGGAGUCCUAGUUCUAUUGUAUUAGUACUUCUAUACAUAUAGUUGGCACCAAUUAAUGGUACUAGUGGAAUUUUCCACAUGAUCUACUGUAGUGGGCCGGGGUUGCUUGUUAAUUACCCCAGAUAAGACGGGUUAGGAUGCUCUACAGUAGGCUAUGGUGCAGUACGGUCACUUCCAUGUGGACCCGAUCCCAUCUGUUAUCUGCACUAUAGCAGGGUGCAGUACUGUAGAGGAUCACCACCCAGAUAAGACACCCUAGCUCUUAUUGAAGAAAAUAAUUUUCCAUAUAAAAGAACAUUAUUAAGUUCCCAACUGUAUCAUACUACGAUAUACUAUUUAUUUGGUACAUCAUUAAUGAUGCCACUUUAUACAUACUAUACUCCUAUACUCAAUGAGAGCAGGAUAUGUUCUUCCACCAUUUAUAGUUACCACGGAUUACUACUAUGGUAAGUUGCUUAUUAGCUACCGCAGAUGUGGUUGCCUAGUGAACCAAAUUAUUUUGGAAACUAGUUUUACAUUUAAAAAGGAUUUUUUUUUGUCCAUACCUAAGGUACAUAUCCUUCCAUGCUCUCACCUAAGGGAAAAGAGCCUCGUGUUCCCGCCAAAAAAAGAGAAGAAAGAAAAUAUCCUAGUAUUGGUCCAUUUGGUUUAGAGAAUAAUUGUUGAAUCACUCGUUUUCUUCCUUCAUGGAUCAGAAGUAGCCUUAAGCAAAAGGACAUUGCUUUGGACAUCUUCGCAGUAUCAAAGGCAACUAAUGGGAAUGUGAUCGAGGCUCCGCCCCCGCGUUGCCCUCCCUGGCGACACGGGGGAAACCGCAUCUGCCGCCGUCGGGAAACACCGCCCCCCCUCCGCCCGCCCCCGUUGCGCAGACGCUGGACGGCCGUCCGGCGAAGCCGUGCCGCACCCCGGGAUGGCGGCGGUGGGGUGAUUCCGUUCCUCCCCUCCUCCCCUCGUGCCCCCCUCCACGCCCAGCCCCCCAGCUCCGCUGUCGCCGCAGGACGCACCACCUCCCCUCCCACUUCCGCUACGCCGCCGCUGGGGGGCUGACCCCCAUGGUCGUGCUGCGCCUCGAGAAGACAGCGGCGGGACGGAUCCGUCCCCUGGUCGCUCCCCCACCCUCCCUGCGUCAUGGAUCUCCUGCAGGGGUGCCCCCUCCCAGCUGCUGCGCAACUCUGCCGGUCUGGCAGCGGGCGCGGCAUGCGGCCUCGGCCACAGGGCACCGUCCCCUACAGUCAUUCCUCCUCUCUGUGUGUGGCCCAACCCUGUUGGUGCUGCCGCCCAUGCUUUGGGCAUGCGUUUUGCGGCCGGUAACAAGGGCUUCCGCGGCGUGCCUUCCUGCAGGCGGCCCCCCUCAUCAUCGGCGACCCGUCCUCUCCCUCGAGCCACGGCUAUGGCUCUCGCGGUGGCGACGAGUCUGCUGUGCUAGUGGCAGUCAUGAAGCCCUCAAGGCGAGUGCUUGCUGGCGCUGCUCCGGCCCCGACGACCUUUGACCCGCGCCCCUUCGGUGUCCUAGGCUGCCAGCAUCCUCUGCCGGGCGGAUCCGGCCUCAGCGACCCAGCAACUGCGUUCCUUCCAGCUCGCUGGCUCCUCGAUGACCCGACGACUAUGGCCACGGUAGCCAGGAUCUGUGUCCCUCCAGUCCUUGCUUGCCGGCGUUACCGAUCAUUGUUACCCAACCCCCUCGUGGUUCGCUUCGCUACCCGCCUUACACUAUACGUCUCAAAGCCUCUAGUUUUGCUAGAUCCGUGCUCGUGGGUUCGGAGGCGGUGCUACCCUUCGACGGCAGAUGUAGCCCAGCCAACCCCCUUCCGACAUGGUGGCUCUGACCGGCGUUGGCUUCCUCAUAUUCGCUUCCAGAUACGGCGUCUAUGGGAUUGCUCAACCUCAGGCCAGGGAGAAAUCCCUGCUCGGCUUACCGAUGCUGGCAGCGGCGGCAUCCGCGGAUGUCGUUUCCUUCUAGGAGGCACUGUCAAGGCCCUUAGUUGCGCCCCUCUUCGAGCUCAAGGGAAACGCUAGGUCUGGUUCCUCCGGACCGAAUGGCGACUGCAUCUCAGUGUUGUGCUCCUUCUUGAAGGCGUCAUCUUACUCACUUGCGGUGUCCCCAGUUUUGGUUCUCGAGAUGUUGGUGCUUUUGUUGGUUCGGCGUUGCCACACUUGGUUCGGGCUUGGUAGGUUUUAGCUGUGGUGUAUCCCCUGUUCAAGCCGAGCAUCCCUUACCUUUAUGCUCCGAGCACCAUGUUCACGCAUGCCUGCGUUCGUGUCAUGUGUUGUACCCCAUCUGUAAUCAUUAUAUUCCUUCUAUCAAUGCAAUGAUACACAAGCUUUGCGUAUUC
rnacentral:lncRNA from 1 species